ACAAGUCUAAAUUCCACAGAAAUUCGCAUUUCUCAUCAGAACACACACUUAGAUCUCAUCGAAAACGCGAUUUUUAUGGUUGGGCUACUGUUCCGGCAAGGCUAAGUUUUUUUCGGCGAAUUCUUUGCCGGAAUCAGAUAUUUUUGGUUGGAUUCAGGUGCUGUAAGUACCACUUCUAUCCCAGUCUCAGAAUACCAUAAAAGUCUCUCCGUUUCUUUGAGUUUUCAAUUUAAAUUCCACCGAAAAGGGUAAGUUUGCUGGAAUUCGAUCCGUCUCAACAACUCCUGCCCGUCUAAGCUCACCGAAGCUCCAUAUAGACGGGUUUUCAGUUUUUGUUUUUGUAUUAAUGAGCUUUGGGUUGAAAUCUUCUUGGAUUGCGGAGUAUCGACACGGUUGGGUUGGUUCAAAAUUGGUGAUUCGAGGUUUGGUUCGAGGUUUCUGGGUGUGGACUUUUUUAUUCGAAUAAUAUUGAGUUCGAAAGCUUUGAAUUGAGGUUCAAUUCUACUAUUUCCCUCUUUUUAUUUUAUUAUUAAUGAUAUCCGUGCAUGGGAUUGAAUAUCGCGUGUUGGUUGAUCUUGAUUGGUGAUGAAUUGCUACUUUGUUUGAUUUGUUGCUUGAUUCCCUCGAUUAUAUAUGGUGUGAUGAUAUGAUAUCAUUUGAGAUUUGAAAUUGGUAAUUUUAGUAUAGAAUUGGGGGUGGCGGUUAAAAGAUCAAUAAAGUAAAUGUUGAUUAUUUUUAUUCAUUAAUGGACAUUGUUGAAAUUGAUAGUAUCAUGUUUUAGGCAAAAAUUAAUAGGCAAAUUUUAAACUCGGGUAGGCAAAUUUAGAAUUGUUGGAUUGUUGGAAUGCUUGGAAUAUUUUUUGAAUGUUUUGUUUAUCGUAUUUGAAAAGUGUAUUCAUUUAACCGGGGAAUGCCCCGAGGUCAUUUGUAUUUACUCGCCGGGGAAUGCCCCGAAGAAUUUUGUACGCGAAGGAUGUUCGUGAUCAAGGCCCAAGGCAUCGGGUAAAGCAUAGUUUAGGACUAGUGUAGGUUAUUUUAGUAUUUUUUAUUUCGGUUUGUAAUAAAUUGGACUGGACGCUAAAUUUUGGAUUGUUUUGUUUUGUUUGCUUGCUUGAUUGUUUUACUUGCUUUAUGUGGUUUAUGCAUUUUAUAAUGUCAAAUUAGCCGAUACGCUCCACCAAGCGAUCGUGGUUGAACCACGGGAUUGAGGGGUGCCUAACACCUUCCCCUCGGUCAACAAAAUUACUUAGUCGGAAUCUCUGUUCGCAAAUUAGUUUUAAAAGAGUCAAAACCGUUUUGAAAAGGAUUUUUCAAAAGGUGACUCGGCAUAUCGGAUUUAUGCCAAGUGGCGACUCUGAGUUUUGAAUAUAAAAGGUCCUUUUCGAAACAAUUAUCUUCAUUUUGUCACUUUAAUAAUAAAAAUCCUUUCGAAUCUAAAACGAAUCUUUUCGAUUAAAAAAGGGGUGAGACAAUAAAUAUAUUAAAUUAAUUUUUCAAAAAAUCAUUAGUUCUGACUUCUAAUAAGAAACAGUUUUACCAUAAAUAAAUUUAAUUAAUUUUCAAUACUUAAAUAUAAAGAAGAAUAAUUAAUUCUGAUGACUUCUAAUAGGGAAAAGUUUUAUCAUAAAUAUAUUUAAUUAAUUUUCAAUACUUAAAUAUUAGAAAAAGAUAGUGAAAAAAUAUUUUUUUCUAAAGCAAAGACUUUUAAUGUAUAUUUAAUGCCCUUCACACUUGUAAUAUACUAGUUUAGGUACACGCGACCUCACUUUAUUGAGUCCAAAUGGUAUACUGAAUAGGAUAUUUGUUUAAAUAAUAAAGAUGAAUACAAUAAUUAAAUUCAACAUAUUUUGAAAAAUUUAUUUAAUUAAACCUAACAUUUAUAAAAAAAUUUAUCAAAGUCGAUCGACAUUCAUCCACCACCUGUACAUUGCAACAAAAUUAUAUGAUGAUACAGACAUCGAAAUAAUAUAAUUAAAUCUAACUUUUACACAAAAAUUUUCUCAAAGGCGUCUGACACUCAUUUACCACCUAUAAACUAUAACGAAAUAAUAUGAUAAUAGAGAUAUCAAAAUAAUGCAAUUAAACUUUACCUUUACAUAUAAAAUUUUCUCAAACAGAGAUAUAAAAAUAAUACAUUUAAACCCAACCUUUACCUAAAAAAAAUUUCAAAGCCGACCGGCAUUCAUCUACCAUCUGUAAAUUCAUCUACGACCUUUAAACUACAACAAAAUAAUACAAUAGUGAUCACAAAGCUUCAGUUUUAAUGAAAAUAAUUCUUAUCUGAACAAAAAUUUUGAGCCUAAAGAAUUACUUGAAUAAAAAUAAAGAAGAUAUAUACACACACAUUGAAUUCUAUCAUUUUGACAAAAACAGUGAAAAAGUUGAGAGUUAAAAAAUUAAACAUCCACCAAUCUAGACAUGCAAUCGAAUCAAGUUAGAUGAGCAUCAAUCAUAUUUUCUCAAUAAGUAAAUCAAUUUCUUUGGUAUUUUAACGUGCAUCUCAAUAUUUAUAGAAAUAUUUCCUUAACAGAGUCCUAUUUUAAGAGUAUUUUCCUAUCCUAUUUUAGGAGUAUUUUUCUAUUGAUAAGAAAAAUAUUAUUUGAUUCUCCUUCCGUAUAUUUUAGAAGUCUCAUAUAUUUUAGGAGUCUAGUUAAUAUAAUAAAAAUAAUUAAAUAACAAAUUGAAGAAAAUAAUGAAAAGAAUGUUUUGCUUAAAUGUUAGUCUUUUAAUGAAGGACAAAAAGUUCAAAUCACUUUUCUAAGUGUGUUCGCACUUUUAAUAUAUUAUUAUUAUUAUUAUUAUUAUUAUUAUUAUUAUUAUUAUUAUUAUUAUUAUUAUUAUUAUAGAUAUUAUUUAGAUAUUUUUUAAAAGCUGUCUAUUUUCUUCUUGUUUUUUAGUGGUGGAGUUGUUAAAAAUUGUAGUCUUUUACAUAUUGUUGCAAAUAUUCUGAGUUUUUAGGAGGAGAGACUGUUUCUUUAGCAUGGGAAAGUAUUAUUAAUGACAAAUUAUUUGAGCUUUUUCUUCAAGUUUUGGGAGUAAUGAUUUUUUUUUAUUUGGUGUUCGGUAUCCACAUUGAUGUCUACUAAUUUGGAUGCGUGCCGGGUAGGGUCCCAUUCGGGGGUAGCGCUCCCUACUAAGGAUUUUUUCAUACUCAGGGCUCGAACCCGAGACCUCUGGUCAAGGGAGAAACAACCACAUCCACUGCAACACAUCCUUUGAUGGUGGGAGUAAUGUUGUUAUUAAUGUUUUGCACUUGUUUUCUUGUUGCACUUAUCUGUAUUAAGGCCAAUGAAAUAAGAAAAGGGACACUAUCCGACUAUAAGCAUCUAUUAUUGUUUAAGAUUUAAAUUCAUGAUCUUCUAAUUACAUGAUAAUAAUUUUAUCCGUUACUCCAAGGCUUGACUCCUUUUCGGUUAAGGGCAAUGAGAUGUGAAUGCAAAUUGAGAUUUUGGGGGAUAAAACAACUUUACGAAUUGGAUAAAACAAUGUAAAUAAUAAAUAUUCGACUCAAUUUUUAAUGCAUCGUGAGCAAUGUACAAAACAAAAACUAAAAAUUACAUAAAGCCACAACUUAAAUUUCACUUAUUACACAAAAUUUCAACUCUCAAAAACAUAUUACAUAAAUUUCACUUUUUGUAUUUCUCUCUCUAAAAGUACAUAUACAUAACUUUACCAAAUUGUUUACGAUUUGUUAACCUUGGAAGAAGCAUAAAAUCAAGAAGCCAUAAAGUAGCUGUUACCAUUUUUGAAUUAAUUAUCAUGUUUGAUUCAAUCUCUUUCUCUGUGGAAUUCAAUUCUAACAAAAAGCGUCAUUUACAAUAAAUUAGGUUAGUUUUUUUUUUUCCGACUUCAUCAAAAAAAUCUUAGAUUAUGAUUGAACAAUUUCUUGCAUGUCGUUCAUUCAAUAGAAUAAGUUCCAUCUUUAUUUUUUCUAUUUUGAAUAAGAUUUUUCUUUUUCUACAUUACCAAAAUUUAAAAUUCUAUAGAAUAAAUUCUUGCAUGUACUUCAUUCACUGAUUAUUACUUAGUAAAUGGAUGAUACUCCGUCUUUUAAUUUAGAAUUAACUCAAUUAGAUCAUUGUGAACCAACAAAUCGUAUUGUUGGGUUUGUUCUCGGAGAAUUUGAUUACGAGGAUCCUAAUUUUAUUAAAAACAAAUAAAAAUAUCGUAAUGACCCCAUUAAGAUGAAGAAGCUCAGGAAAGCUGCUGAUCAAAGUUCAAAAAUCAAAUCGAAGAAUCAAUAAAAAAGAUUAAAAAAAGAUGAUACUGCACGGCCAUGUCUACCGAAGGUUUUUUAUUUUUUCGAUUUGAAUAUGAUUGUUUUUUUCGUAAAAUGAGUCCUCUAUUCUAAUAUGAGUCCUUCGUACCUUUCUAUUUAGGAUCAGAUCCUCAAGUAAAUGCUCCAUGUCAAAUCUAAUCACCUCUUUUCAGUAUACUUUUUUUUUUUCACUAAACUAAAAUAAUUUCGAAAAAAACAUUAAUAAUUUUCGGCCAAAUUGCUACUACUCAGUCCUCACUAUCUAUAUCUAUAUAUUAUUAAUAGGAGAGGAUAAAACCUUCUCAUUAAGCCACUUGGCAUCCUAUGAAUAAGCCACUUGGCAACUUAGUAAAAUAAAUAUAGUUAUGUUUGUUAUUAGUUGUUACAAUUAAAUUAAAAACUAAAAAUGCCAAAAAUUACAAUCAAUUAAAAAACUAAAUGUCAAAAAAAAAAUACAAUAAAUAUUGUAAAUAUUUUAAAAUAGAGGGAAAAAACCUAUUCUUAAUCCAUAUAUGGCAUUUGUGCAAUUUGCCGACUGGUCAUUCUUCAAAACCCCUAAGAUGGGAAAAAAAAAUUCUUAAUAAAUUUGUAAGUUUUAAAUUAUCCCACAAUUACAAUAAUAAUCCAUUAUCGGCAGUAUAAAAACCGUCCUUCUCAAUCAUUUCCACUACUAAAUAACUUUGUUUUCUAUCUCAUAUCUGAUAGAAUGAAACUUUCACAUCUUUGUUGCCUUCUUUCUCAUGGAAACACCAACUGCCAGACAUUGUCAAAGUCACUUUCAAAUCUGGCAUCAUUGAAAUUUCACUGCAAUUUUUACUAUUGAAGGUUGGAGUUUACUACCUUGAUCCAAUUCUUCUACAUAUAAAUCUCUAUACUAUUGAAACUGCCAAGCAAAAUAGGCGAAAACAUUAUGUUUGCGGUCAUUUUUUACACAACUGAUGAACUUUUCUUUCUUAAGGAAGUAGGGCAACGAACAAGUGCAGGUCAAGCUUUUUGUUAAAGAGGGCUUGAGGUUCGGAAUUGAAUAUUCCAGAUAUUAUUUAUUAGUUGUUUCAUCAUUAGUACUGCUAUGUAUUGUUGAUUCCAUGUUCCGUUUCUUUUAAGGCUUUGUCUUCGAUGAAUGUACUUUUAAAAUGACUGACCGUGAUCAGUAUAUGUAGAUCAGUUUGUCGAGUUACAACAGUUGAUUUUGGAUCCUCUGUUCUUUUUCUUUUGUUUGAAAGUUUGUUGUACGAAUGCUAUUCUUUUAAGUCUACCAAAUUUAAAAAUUGAUUUGCUUAACGUUAAUGGAAUAUUGAGACUAAAAUUACUGGUAUAUAAUAGGGAUGUUAGCUACAUUCUUUUAGUCUCUUACUAAGCCUGUAUUUGAGCUCUAUGUUGUUUCCUUAGUGCAUCUUCAAUGCUCUUCCUGAGAUUGUUCCAAGAAAUAGUACACUUUGUACUACUACCAUUUGUUAUCCUAUUGACAAACAAAUUAAGCAAAACAGUAUAGAAUUUUACUAGAACAGACCUUUCGUUAGAACACUCUUUGAUGUUCUCUAAAAUUGUUGAUAACUAUAUUAUACACUUUUAAUGACAGUGUAUGGAGUCUAUUUCUUUUGACUUUUCUUAUGUAAUAUUACCCUAGACUAAAUUUAAUAGUUUCAUAAUCUACACAAAGAUAAUGCAAUGAUUUACUUUGAGGUUAUAACUACUGUAGGUAAGACAUUAGAGUUCUAUACUUUUAAGAUUCUAAAUGUGGUUACUUAUCUUCUCUCUUGCCUUCUCUUUAUUUCGCUUUCAAGUAACUAGAUGGUUAACAUUUUUCUUCUUUUUUUUUUUUUAUUUAUAAUGAUGUUUUAUAAUAAAUUGUGGAGCUUUCUUGGUGUGGGUUCAAAGAAGAUAUGGUACUACAUUCAGUAGACUAUUGAAAUAAAUCAUUACCUAUUGUUAAAAUCUUUCAGAUUUAGAGUUGGAGUGGAAGGAUAUAAACUCUCACAAUGAUGGCUUAUAUUUGAGCUUCUCGACUCAAUCCGGUUUAAUUAAGAAAGAAUUUGACUUUUAAUUUUCUAUUGGCCAUCUUUUCCUUUUUUGUUCUAAUUUUUUCUUUUUUUGUGUGUCUAUUUGUGUGAAGUUGAGUUAGUCUGAAAUUUUUUUGGCUUAAUUGUUCAUCUUUUUGAAAAACUAAAGGUAUAUGGUGAAGAAUUAAUUAGAACACACUCUUCCCAAGAAGACCCCUUCAAAUUUUAACUUAUUCCUUUGAAAUUCAUGGCACACUUGAUUCCUCUUUAUUUACAAGUGUCUUUUCACUAAAAGUCAAGAGGUUUUUGUUGUCCAACUUCACAAUAGCUUGUACGAGUGACAAGUCAGGUGAUCCUAUCAAUAUUUACCUGUGGUAUAGAAGCAACAACUCUAAAUAGCGCAUCAAGUAUAGGGGUUUCUCAACUAAGUGAUACGAGGAUACGUGUACUUUGCAGGCUGAGUUUCCAACAAUUGUUGAAAAGGUUAGAGUUGUAAAACAGUGAAUUAUGAAGUCUACUAUCAGUAAGUAAGUGUUUUCUCAAAGAAUCAUAUUUUAUCGCUGAAAUCUCACAUCAUAUGCAUAUGUAUUUAAUCAUAUGGUCUAAAUUAUUUAGCGCUGAAUGAUACCGCAGGUUGUUACUGCAAACAAAGGUGGAGUGGUGGCAUAUGUCGAGGGUCUUCAUGUGUUUGUCCCAUUUUAUAGAUAUCAACGUAAAUUUACAAUUAUGUAUAAUGAGGAUAGAGACACUUUGUCUGAUAAACCAUCUUGGAAAUAAGCUUCACAAAUAAUAUUCAAAAAUGGAUAUCUGCUAUAGUUUCUUAAUGUAGUUAUAUCUUCAUUUGAGUUCGUUCAUAGUGUUCAAGUUCAAAUUAUUAUAGUAAUUGUUUACUGUUAUAGCUUUCUUGGUCGUAUAUAAGUUCUCUAAUUUGGUUGACUGUCCAGUCAUGCACAUUGGCUCCCAUUGAAGGGUUGUUGAUUAAUCUACUUCCAACUCCACCCUCAAUGCUAGCAGAUGUUGCCAUUAUUACAAUGCAAUGCGCUCUAGGUGUGUGUAAUGAGUGGAAUAAAACCCACCAGAAACAUAUGAACUAUGUUAUAUCAUCUUUUUAAGUACAGUAAACUUUUGAUGAAUAUCAAUUCAUUUAUAUUAAGACUAAUAUAUUUGGAUUUAAGAAAAGAUGAAACAUGUUCAACAAAUUCAUACAACAACAUGAAAGUUUGUCAUUGAUUAAUUUUUGUCUAUGUUUUAGGAGGAUCUUUAAAGCUUUUUAUAUUUCACAAAUUUAUUUGUCAAAAAAUUGUCUUGAAAUUAUCUGACCACAUAUAGAACCUGAUUCUGAAAAAUGAUUCUCUUUGAUAAUAUUGUAAUGGAUCAUCCAAUUUGCAAGAUUAAUGCCGGAUUUUGGAGCUAUUACUUCCCAUCUAUAUAGAGAUAUCAAAUAUUAUUAGUGAAUGCAACUGAAAUGAUAAAAGUUAAAAAUAUAUUUGGAUAGGUCAACUAUUUAGACCUUGAUAGCUCUUUUUAACUAUUAAUUUUCAAUUUUAAGCACUUGAAUAUGAGUAUUCUGUGUUACAGUUAAGAAUUGGAGUUCAAUCACCAAGCAAGACAAAGCUCUCAACAUGUGAUCUGCGCCUCGCUUCAAGCCUUAAGAGCACCUUUCGCAACACCUCUUGAAUGCUCUUUUGAUUACAAGAUUACAUGCAUAUGUACUUUUUCAUAUUAGACUUGGUUUUAUUUAGUUUUGAAGUUGCAUAAGAUUAUGGCUUCUUGACUAAUUUUACUGUAAUUGAUCUAUCAAGUUGUAUUUGCUAAAAUGAGUACCAUCGUGUGACAAAGCAUUUUGUUUGUUUGAGAAAAUUAUGGCCUAUUUAUACCUUAAUCAAGAGCUUUUGGUCACACUAUUUAUUGUGUUGAAAGCUGAAAAUUGAAAGAUCACAAGGGUGACAAGUGUAAAUAUUUUUCAGCCGCUUUACUUCAAGGCAUUUUCACUUUCAAAAAAUUACUUCUAACAGAUGAUAUACUUUUUGAUAAUGUUACUGUAUCUUUAGAUACAGUUGUGCUAAUUUUUGCAUCUCACUUUACUACUUACAUGAAGCAAUGACAAGAAAAUUCAGAAAUUCGUGAAGUAUUCUCACAAGUGAAAAGGCACAGAAUAUCAUCGUCAUUUUUAAAUUUAAGGAUUGAAUCUGAUGUUUUUCUUUAAAAACGUCGCAUAUUUGGAGUAAAAAAGAUUUGAUGGGUGGUUGCAGGAAAUUGUGGGGUGGUGGUGAUGAAUAUGAAAAGAAGAGGCCUGCCUUUGAUUUUCAAUCACCUGAAUUAGAAACUAUUCCUGUGAAAAUUUCUAAAAUUCGACAUAUGGUACUUGAGAAAGCAUUGAGAGAGUUGAAAAGCUUUCUUAUUAUCUUAGUUGCGUGGACUCUUCAUUUUGAUGCCGCAACCAUGUAGGAUUCUUCCAAAAACACUAAUUUUGGCGAAUUCGACAUGCACUCAUUGGCAUUUUUGAUGAGUCCGAGCAACAUAGCUUAUUAUGACUUAAUUUUUAUUUUUACAGCUUCAUCUUCUGACUUCUACGAGGAGAUGCAUUAAAGCAGAGGAUUUUUCAGGUAUGUGCAACUGUUCGAUCUCUCAAGUGUUGUUAGGUAAUGAGUUGAUAUUUUUCCCUCGUCUCACGGAGUUGAAUUUUAUUCCUCAUUCCUCAUUUGAGAGAGUUAAGUUUUCCAUCUAUUUAGAGAUCAAUUUCCUCAACAUAAAGAGUUAAAACUCUUCUGAAUGCUACUUUUGCUUUGCCAGGUUUGUAAAACAAAGUGGAUGAUAAGACGCAUGAUAAAUCUUCAGUAGCAUUAAGCAAACGCAUGGAUGAUUUUCCUAAGGUACCUACAAUAGUGGGGAAAUAAACAUAGUAAAAGAAGAAAAAAUGAUCAAAAUAAAUUCAGGCUCUUCACCGCAGCCUCUCCCUAACGGAGACGUUCACUUGCAAAAGAAAACUAUUAAUUCAAGGAAAACACAUCUCUUGUGACAGGAAACGGAGAACACUGAAGGUGAUAAUGCAACUUCAAUUUCAAAAAGAAAGAAACUAGACCAAAAAAUUGUUGCAAAGAGUUACUCACUAAUGUCUCUUUAGUUGUUCCUCCAUCAUCAAUUAUUAAUUGUAAUAAUAUCUCUAAGAAAGUUGUUUCUGUCUACUAAGGUCUCAGUUUUUCUGAAUUAGUUUCUAAAAUGUUACUAGAAUGGACAUUAUAUUUAUUGGACAUGUUUAUCAUGUACUAAAUUUUGCAGGGGUGAAGUCAUGCAAGUCACAAAAAGCUAAAGGCCACUUUUGUGAGGUCUCUGAUGAUAAUGGAAAGGUUGAUAGAAACGUUGGCUUCAAAAAGAGAUCUAUUAACAAGAUUUCUAAGAAUCAGGAUCUCUUGGGGGAGGCAACGGGGAGCACUAAAGGUUAUAAUACAACUUUAAGUGGUAGAAAAUGGGGCUAAAAGAUUAUCACAGAGAGUUGCUCACUAAUGCAUGUUUUGUUGUUUCUCCAUCAACGGUUAUUAUUUGUUACACUACCGCAUAGAGUGCAUCUACUAUUCAAGAUAUUUCUCAAAUUAGUGUGAUAGAUUAGGUGUAUUUCUCAUAAUCUCAAUAGUUUGGGUGUGAAACUCAAAAGAGAGGAUUAUUUAGGUGUGUUUUUUACUCUAAUAAAAAAUGUAUAAUUAUAGUAUGUGUUUUUACCAAAAUGUAUUUGAGUUUGUUUUUUGAAACCCAUGAUUAUCUGUAGCCGUUGUAACCUUUGUCAUAGCUUCUGCCCUACUAGUGAGCACUGGGUAAACCCCUCACUGUGUAAUACAUUCCACUAGACACUAGGUUAUAAUUAUACUUUUAUAAGAUCAAAAUGAUGUGAUGUGUUCAAAAAUUAAACAUUUUUUUAAUAAUCUCCGCGUAUCGUGCGGGUAUGUAUACUAGUAUGAGUAAUUUGAAAGGGCUUUAGAGUGUUUUCAAAGUUAUAUAUAUAGGAAUACGUAUUUGGAUUGAGUUAGGGUUAGCAGACUGCCUAUUGAUUCGUUACAUGGGACAAUUUCUUCAUCCUCAACUUUAUGGAAUCAGCCCUGGUAAAAAAAAAUUGUGUUUCUAUUAGGUUGCUUCUAUUUGAUUAUUAUACUUUUCUUGCAAUUAUGCUGAGAUAUACUGAUCCUACUUGUGGUGUUGUUGUUAUUGUUGUUGUAAUGGGAAAAAGUUGUGUGUUUUGAUGUUGUUCAUGUGUUGUGGAACUAUUUGUUGUUGUAAUGGAAAAAAAAAGUUUCUUUUUUUCUACUAUUUUGUGUUGUCCGAUGUGUGGUGUUCGUAUUUGUUGUUGUAAUGGAAAAAAGUUGUGUUUUUUGUGUUGUUCAGGAGGAGAAAAAGUGGUGUGUGCAAAAUCUGAUGUUUAUGAGUUUGGAACAACGAGUAUGUUAUACUAUGAUCCAUUAACUGACGUGCAUAAAUUUUUAGAUUUUUGAGGUUGAUGACACAAAGGAGGAUUGUUUGAGCUAGCUACAGGAUGAUGUUUUGUCUUCCAUUCUUGGAUAUUUGACAGUACGUGAUGCUGUUAGGACGACCAUUUUAUCUACUAGGUGGAAAUAUCUGUUUGCCUCUACGCAACUACGAAAACAACCCCCAUUUGAAUUCAGAUGCUUUGAUAUGUUGACGGUUGUUAGUCGUUCUUGUUGCUCUUCCUAUCAAGAAAAAGACAAAUUCAUGAAUGCAUUAUACCAGUUUUUAAGACACUAUGCUGGUUGUAGAGUGGCUCGCGUUCAGAUGGUCAGUUGCUUUGUGAGAGAGGUUCCUAGUGCGUUUACCCAUUGGUUCCAAUCUCUUUCUAGAAUACGUGUUGAAAGCUUACACCUUUCCUUUGAGUGCAAUUUCCGUGACUUAAGCCAGUUGCUUACAUUUUCUCUUGAGGUUCUCUCUCAGUCAUCUUCAUUGGAACAUUUGAUUUUACAAGGCUGUGUUGUGUUAUCAAGUCCUAAAGUCUGUUUAAAUUCUCUCACGACUCUUACUUUGAGUGGUGUUGUGUUAACUAGCGGACAUCUGGAGGGUAUUCUGUCUUCUUGUUCCAACCUUAAGAGGUUAACUAUUGUGUGCUGUAAACUUCCUUAUAAGCUAUGACUCAAUGGUACAGUAAUGGUGGUUGUUAUUUGGGAGUGUGCCGGAGGGAAAGGAAUUGAUCUGCAUGCUGCACAUCUUCGUAUGCUUGAGUGCAAGAUUAAUAACAAUGUAAGAUUUUUUUUCUCAUUUGUACCCGUGCUGGAAAAUGUAAUGGUUUGGCGUGACUUUCAACAUUCAUAUUCAUACGUAUUUGGUGAUUGUGCAAGAGAUUUACCAGAUCGGGUUAAAUCUUUAACCCUCCAAUUUGCUCCUGAUCAGGUUUUAAUUUAACGUUGUCUUGUAUUCUCAAAUUUAUCAAUAUUCGUCACUUUGAUGACCCUAAUCACUUGAGUUUUUUUCUCUAGAUAUAUCCUUCAUUUGAGAACCCAACAGUGAUGCAGAUGUUCAGAAGCCUUAGGAACUUAAGCUUGAAACUUGUGACCAGUCUUGCGAUCGUAGAGAUAUUUGAACUAUCCAGACUUUUGGGUGAUUUUCUCUGCUCCAAUCUUUGAGUUUUGUGGUGAGUUUGUUAUCCAUGUUCAUCAUCUUCUUCUUUGCGUAAUUCUUAUAUUUUUGAUAUUCUUUGUUCAUGAACUAUCUUUAUAGAAGGGCACUUUCGUUUUUAAACUUAGAAUCUAUUCGCUUUGUGGUGAACUCUAUGUUUACUCUUUAGUGAAUUGCUACGUUGGUGCAAAGUUGAGUAGACCAUUCGUUUUGAUGAUUUUUGAAAUCCUAGAGGAUCAUACUUCACAAAUACAAUCUACUUGGUCUUUCAUAAAACAAUGCGAAAGAGCAUUGAUUUUGUCAUAAUUUGUAGUUAGUGCAACUCCUCUAUCGGAAACGGAUAGGGGUAAGGUCUGGAUGUAUUGUAUAAUUCAGUUCUUUUUGUAAAUUUUUUCUUGACAUCUGAUAACAAAGUGGUACAUCAGUUUAGUUGGUACAGUGAGAAGUCUUAAAGAUAGAUUGCGAAGAUCUGCAAAUUGUAUGUUAAAACAUUGCUUUAUAAACUACAGAAAUGUCCAACCUUACUGGUCGUUGAAUCAAACGCUUUAAGUACCUUUUUCUGUUUGUUCAUUUGGUGAGCUCCAUGACACAAUGAACUGCCAAGUAAUUAGUAAUAUUCCUUACAGUCCAUUGUUAGUUCAAUUUAGCUUUGCUCUACUAAGUCGUUGUUGUAAUUAUUUAGCACUAUGUUGAUCUCAUUCUCGUUGUGAUCUUCAGGUGAUUAAGCUUCCAGUAACAAGGGAGAUAAGAAGAAGGCGGUCUCCAUCUCCUACACGUCACACUGAACUAAAACAAGUGACAUACGGUGGAUUUAAUGGAUUAGACACCGAGAUGGAGUUUGUUCUUUAUAUUCUAAGAUGUGCAGUAGCACUUGAGCAGAUGUUUCUCAGCCCUGGAUACAAAAAUGAUUUCUCUUUAGAGCAGGAAUCGGUAUUGAACCUUUCAUUCAAUGAAGAGAAACGCAACUUAAUCCAACAACAACUACAUGGGCAAGCUAUCUCUGGGAAAGCUACGGUGAUCAUCCAAUAAGAUAUUGGACAAAUACUCUAUUGGAAAUCAAGGAUUUGCAUACACGCUACUUUUCCCAGACCUCACAUUUGCUAUAGUAGAGCUCUGUUAGUCAGUAGGGACAGGUAAGUGUGUGAAGUUUAUGGUACUGUUACUUUUAAGAAUUGUGUACAUUCUACCCUUUUUAAAUCCAACAUGUUUAUGGUGCCUCAAUUGCCAUUAUUUGCGAUAUUGUUUCUUGAUAUCUGCCAGAACUUGUCCUAACCAAAUGGUUCAUUGACAGGUUCAUCUCUAGGAUCAACCCUCUCACAAGUUCCAACAAAUGCCUUGUCAGGCUUAACGCGGUCUAGUCAGUCUUGAUGAUGUUUGAAAUCCAGAUGGCAUCAUGCUAAAACUUAAAAAGUUUGUUAGAUAAUCUAACCAAAUUGCGGACAAGCUAACUUCUAAAGAAGGGGUUUUCAUGGAAUACAUUUUCCUCCAUACCGAUUGUCAUUUUCACAAUGCGAACUUUGGAGAGGAAAGUGUAUACGCAUAUCUUAGUUCGACCUAUCUUGGAAAUAGAGAGGCUAUUUCCGACAGAUGGUCGACUCGAGGAAAACAUAGAAAUAUAUAUCUGACAAAUUAGUCAAUCAGUCAAAAGUUUGUAGGAGCAAAUUGCAUGCAAGUUACAUGAAUUAUAAACUGUACAAGUCAAUAAAGUGAAGCAACAAAGUCAAGUGCAAGUCAAUCUUUUCAAUAACAUUUAUAAUUUUUCUCCCUCAAUAAUUCUUUAUUUUUCAACCUUAAAAUUUCAUUUGAUGUCUCAAUCCAUAAGUUUGAUCUUCAAACAUUUGACACUUAAAAAAAAGAUUUAUAGUGUUUAUACCAAAUUAAUGAAUAUCUAACACAUAUUUUUCAUUUAUUUUUAUCAUUUAUCCAUAGUUGAUUCAUAUGCAUUUUGAUCUUGCUAUUUUUACUUCAUCAUUAUAAAUUCAUAUAGUUUGAUGUAAACAUUGAAAUAUGAUUCAACUUUUUUGUCUAAAGGAAUCUAACUUGUAAAAGACCUUGCACCAAUUGAGAAACAAAUUUGUUGCAACUUGAUACCUAUUAUCCGCUUUGGCCUAACAGACCUCACAGAUUUGUCCCUUCAGCUACAUCAUCAUCGAGUCCAAAAGCGUACAUACCAUGUAACCUAUUGUUAUUUCUUAUAAAUUCCUUCACUUCAUCUCACAUUUCAAUGUAAGAUUCGCUUGAGGUUCAUAUAUGCCUCUUCUUCAGAAGCUUGCUAGCCUAAAAGUCUGUCUUUUAGAACCUUCAUCUACACAAGUGGAAGAAUUUGGACAAUGAGACACUAUUUUUUCUUGUAGAAAAUGGCAUUGACCAAGUCUUUUGCACCCUAUUUAUACAUAUAGAGUCAUUAAUGUUGUUUCUUGAACUCCAAACAAGUUAUAGCCAUGAAACAAGAUCAGCAAAGCAAAUUACUGGAUUUUACCAAAAAUAAGGAAAUAAUUUUGCCAAAAAUAGAUUUGUAUUGCAUAUAUAUUAUUUAUACAAUUUGUAUUAUAGUAUUACCAUACCUCUUAAUUUUACCAAAAAUAAGGAAUUUUGCAAAACUGAAAAACAACAACCAACAUGAAAACAUUAAUUUACUUCUCCUCCAAUAUACUUUAGGAGUUUAGUUAAUAUUAUAAAUAUAAUAAUUUAAUAAUUGAAGGAAAAAAGUGAAAAGACAAUUUGUUUAUUGCAGAGAUUUUCAAUGAAGGGUAAAAAGUUCAAAUUACUUUUCUAAGUGUCUUCACACAUUUAAUAUAUUAUCAGUUUAGGUGUACGCGCCUUGCGCGUGUAUCUCACUUUAAUGAGUUCAAACAUUACAUUAAAUAGAAUAUUUAUUUAAAUAAUAAAGAUGAAUAUAAUAAUUUAAUUUAAUAUCUUUUGAGUAUGUAAAGAUGGAGAAUUUAUUUAUUAAAUCUAAUCUUUACCCAAAAUAUUUUUAAAAGUCAAUCGACAUUCAUCUACUGUGUAAAUUGCAACAAAACAAUACAAUGAGACAUCAAAAUAAUACAAUUAAAUCUAAUCUUUACACACAAAAAAUUUCUCAAAGUUAUUUGACACUCAUCUGCCACUUGUAAAUAAUAACAAAAUAAUACGAUAAUAGAGAUAUCAAAAUAAUACAACUAAACCUAACCUUUACAUAAAAAAAUUCAUCAAAGCCGACCAACAUUUAUCUAUCACCUAUAAACUGCAACAAAAUAAUAUGAUAAAAGUGAUAUCAAAACAAUACAAUUAAACUGAAAUUUACACAAAAAAAAUUUCUCAAAGCCGAUCGAGAUUCGUCUACGAACUGUAAACUACUAUAAAAUAACAAACUAAUAGAGAUAUUAUGAUAAUACAAUUACAUCUAACCUUUACCUACAAAAAAUUCAAAGUCGACCCACAUUUAUCUAGCAUCUGUAAAUUAAAAUAAAACAAUAAGAUAAUAAAGAUAUCAAAAUAAUACAAUCAAAUCGAACCUUUACACAAAAAAUUCUUUAAAGCUAACCGACAUUCAUCUAUGACCUGUAAACUAUAAAAAAAAAUAUAAUAGUGAUUACAAAGCUUUGAUUUUGAUCCAACUAAUUCCUGUCUGAGCGAAAAUUUUGAUCCUAAAGAAUGAUUUUAAAUGAAAACAAAGAAUAUAUAUAUAUACACAUAUAUUGAAUUCUAUUAUACUAAGAAAAAUAGUGAAGAAGUUGAGGGUUAGGAAAAAAACAUGUUUAGGUAUAGAAUUUUAUCAUCAAUUAACUAUUGAUAGUAUCAAUGAUUAUAGAGAUAAAUAUAUUUGUGAUUUACGUUAUGUUUUUUAAAGUGUUAGUAUGUUCUGAUAUUAACAAUAAUAAAUUAUCAUGUAUUAUUGAUAGAUAACUGUUAAUUGAGAAAAUUUCUUCUAAAUAGGAAUACUUUGGAUAUCAAUAAUUUCAACAACUUGGUGUUUGUUUUCAAUAAAAAAAAUAAAAUAAGCAUGAUCUUAUAAAAUAUAAAUUCAAGUUUGAGAUUGAACACAUCAACAAAAGAAAUUCAUAAAUAAAAAUUGACAUUCGAUUCCUAUAGAUCAAAAAAAAUAAAAAAUAAGCGUGAUCCUAUAAAAUAUAAAUUCAAGUUUAAGAUUGAACACAUAAACAAAUGGAAUUCAUAAAUAAAAAUUGGCAUUCGAUUCCUAUAUAAUUUAUGUUAGUGUUUAUAUAUACUAUUGUGCCUAUAAUUGUAUGGAAAAUAUUUUAAUAGAGUAGGCAAUUUUUAUUUUUUUUUUUGCAAAAAUAAUCAUAGUUUUCCAAUAAAAUAAUAAUAAUAAGAGCUUACCAAGUUCAUGCAAUUUAUGUACAACAUAAUAACAACUUUUAUGGUAGUUUUUGUUUGUUCAAAUUUUAUUUUUUUAAAAAUAUUUUAGAACUCUUGAUUUCCCCCAUAUAUUUUAGGAUUCAAUAUUAAUUAAUUUUCCUACCAUAUAUUUUAUGAGUCUCAUAUAUUUUAGGAAGUCUAGUAGAAAGAAAAAAUAUUAAUUAAUUCUCCUACCAUAUAUUUUAGGAGUCCCAUAUAAUUUAGAAAGUCUAAUUAAUGAUAAAGAAAUAAUUAAAUAAAAAAUAAAAAAUAGUAAAAAGACGUUUUGUCUAAAAAAGAGUCUUUUAAUGAGGGGUGAAAAGUUCAAAUCACUCUUCUAAAGGUCUUCACACUUUUAAUAGAUUAUAGAUUAUUAUUAUUAUAAAGAUAAAUAUAGAUUAUAAAUAUAAAUUCUCGCUAUUUUAAAAAAUAAGUCUUAAAAUGGCAAUUUGUGCACUUGUUCCUAUAAGUUUGGCCCAACAUAGAAAGACCAUUCAUCAGACAAGUUAAAAGGGUUGAUCAAUCCAACAUAUCAAAAUGCACAGUCCAUUUAAUUAGGGGAAAUGACACUUGCCAUUUUGAAAAUAAAUGAUGAGUAAUUGAUUAAUUUGUCAUAUUGUGGCUAGUCAAUUAAAUUAAUAUUUAAUAGUUAUUGAGCUAUUGUGACCCUUUUUUAAUAUACAAUUUUUAUAGUAAAUUGAUACAACGCUUAUAUUAUAUUGAUACAUUUUUUUAAAAGAGACGAAACUUAUGUAUGCAUAUGUAAUUUUUAUAUCAAAUUGAUAUAACGUUUAUACCAUAUUGAUAUAUUUUUUCGAAAGAGAUGGACCUUAUUAUUGCAUAUACAAUUCUUAUACCAAAUUGAUACAACACUUAUACCAUAUUGAUAUAUUAUCUUCAAAGAGAGGGAACCUACACAUAAAUACAGUCCCUAUAUUAAAUUGAUACAAUGUUUAUACUACUUUAAUACAUUUUUAUUUUUUUUUAAAAUGUAGUAGUGAAAAAAAAUAGAAAAAUUGAUUUCUUUUUUCAUAAGUAAAAUGGGCGACUUUCUUUUUAAAUGGAAUAAUAAAAACGUAUAAAAAAAAGAAAUAGAGAGGAAGAUGAAGCGUACAACGAAAUGGUUAAAAAUAGAAAUUAAUUUAAUAGCUAAUUGUAGGUAAUUAGUUUUGAAUCACUAUUAUGUUUCAAAUUAUAUUUGGAUUUCUCAUGACCAAACUCAUACUAUUUUUAUUUUUUUCGACAACAAUAAUAACAACAAACUCAAUCUAUUUCCACAUAGUGGGGUCUGGAAGGGUAUAAUGUAUGCAGUUCAUGCCACAACCUCCGAAGAGAUAGAAAGACUGUUUUCAAUAGAUCCUCGGCCCAAAACAAAAUAAUAUUCCCUCAGUUUAAAAAAGAAUGACCUACUUUCUAUUUUAGUCCGUUUAAAAAAGAAUGACCCCUUUUCCUUUUUAGCAAUUUUUUAAUUCUAACUUUCCACGUGGUAUAUUUAAGACCACAAGAUUGAAGGACAUUUUGGUACAUUUGACAUAUCUUUAAUUUAAGACUACAAGAUUCAAAAGUUCUUUAUUUUCUUAAACUUCGUACCAAGUCAAGUUAGGUCAUUCUUUUUGAAACAGAGGGAGUAGUAAACAAAAUUGUCAUAAAAUGUGAAACAAGAUGUAAUAACAGAGAUACAACACCCAUAAAAAGUACUAACAAAUCAAAGGCACAAUCUUCCCCUGACCCUUCUAACUAGAAGCUCCAACCUAUAUAUAGAGCCUUAAGACUACUAGCUUAGCUACACCAAAGCACUCCUAACUACACUACACGCACUAGCCCUCUAUCCUAAUUUGAGUCCUUUGUACCUUUCUAUUUAGAGUCUCAUAUUAUAUAUAAUUAUAUAAAUAUAUAUAUAUAUAUAUAUAUAUAUAUAUAUAUUAUAUUAUUAUAUUAAAAGUGUAAAGAUCCUUAGCAAAAGUGAAUUGAACUUUUUGCCCUUUAUCAAAAAAUUUUGAUUUAGACAAAAUCGCCAUUUCACUAUUUUUGAAUAUUUAUGAGUUAAAAAUUUAAAUAAGUCAUCAAAAUUCUUGUUCAACUAAACAAUAGGUACUUUUUUCAAAAGUUUUCCCACGUAUAACUUGGGUUUGUUACAGGAUUUAAUCAAACCUAUUUAAUUAGAGUAUUACAACUUACUGUUUCUUCCUUUUUUGUUCUAAUAUUGAAUUGAUGUUUGACUUUCUGAUGAGGUAGCAUGGGUAUUACAACUUAUUGUUUCUUCCGUGCAGUCUAAUCUUUAAAACAGAUAUUGUUAACUCCUUUUGAAAUUUUUAUUCUUUAAGGUUUUUGCUCUAAAGUUAUUGGUUCUUUAUUUCUUUUUUUUAUAUAUAUUUUUUGAAUGUCAAUUGUGGAAUCGAUCAUUCAUCUAUAUUUCUUUUUAUGUAUAUUUUUUUAGAUGUCAAUUGUAGAAUCGAUCUUUUAUCUGUGCUCCUUAUCUUUCUCCAUGAAAUUAAUAGAGUUGUGUGAAAGCUGAUUUGAACACCACAGUUAUAAUUGAAAUGCUGAAUAUAUCUACUCAUGAAAGAAAGAAUUAGCAAGGAUCCUAAAUGCUUUGAAUUCUAUUGGACUACACAAAUCUUUUGAUUUUCUUGAGAGAGGAGAAAAAUAAUUUUCUGUGACUUGUAAGUUUUGAAUCGGUUAAUCAACUCUUUCGUUUCAACUGUGAAAAUUAUUUUUACAAAGUUCUCGGAUUUGUGUUUUCAUUCUUCUUUGUUUGCAGAAAAGGUGUGAUAACUUCUAUGAAGAAUACAUUUGUUGGUGUUUUCGUUAAAUCUUGAGUUUUUAGGAUUUCGAUGUGGAUAAUAUUGAUCGACCUAAGGGUUUAGAGUUUGUGUUGUGACUCUGCUUUACUCAUAAUUGAUUCUUUUAGUUGCUUAGGUUAGCUUUUGUUUUUUUCCCCUAUUUUGUGGGUGAAUCUGAUCAUGCAAUGACUUAUUUCACCUUUGUUUAAGAUUUGAGAGAUAAAUAUAUAAAUGUUUCUAUGAUUUGAGAUUAUGAUGUUGUGGCAGUGUACGGUCCAUGUAGCACUAUUUUUUUUAGAGAGGAAGACGGCAGCUAUGGUAAUGAAAAGAGGAGAAUAUAAUCUUUUUGAUAUUUCAAGCUUAUACAGUUUGACUCCCUCAUUUCAAUUUCUCCUCAGAUUUUCAAGCAAACAUAAUCUCUAUCGAUGAUAUGGCAACUCCGAUGGCCAAGGAUAGAGACUUCGAAGAUGACUACUAGCUUCAUGUAAUGUUCACUGAAGAUAUUAUUAGGUCUUCACGUCAUUUUGACAACGAAAUUUGAAUCAUGCAGGUUUCAACUUCUCUUCGUUUGCCUACUUACAGUUAUUUUGCGUUUGUUGAAAACUUUUGAUGUGUUUUUUUGUCUCAAUUUUGGGUGCGAAUAUCAUGAUUAUUGGGAGUGAUCUAAUCAUUCUUCUUAAAAAUAAUUUUGUCCAACGUAUAUAGAUUUUUUUUCUAGAAAAAGAAAUAGAAUCCUAAUUGGUUCUAUCUAUGGACUUUAGUGAUCUGGAUAUUGUUCUUGGUGUUACUUUUCUUUUUCUUAUUCAUUCUUUCUUUCAAAUUUCCGUCAUGGUUGUUUGAGUGAGUAUUAAGGUGAAGACUUGAAACUUUUGUUUAGCCUUUGCCCACUUUUAAUUUCAUUAUAUUCAAUUGAUCUUAUUGAUUUGAGUCCCUCUUCUUAUUACUCUCAUAUGAUUAAAAAAAAAUAUUGUCAAAGAGGUAAAAUUAUUAAGCGUUUAUAAUUAAAUUGAUCAACUUUAGACUUAUUAAAAAUUAAUACAAAAUAAAUUCAAUUUUGAAUCUACUUGGGGAUAGCACAAUAACUUGGCUCUCUCUGUAUUCUUCUUCUUUCUUUCCACUUCAUAUUCCAGUGCUUCAUAUAAUACUUUCAGAUGCUGUAUAUCUGCAUUUGUUCCGAUGAUACUAAAACUAAAAAAUUAUUGAAGUAUUUCUGAAGCAUCAGAUUUAUUCGGUGGGAACUGAAUUGUAAAAUAUACUUUGAGUUAAAAGCCCAUAACUUGUCAAGAAAAUAACUAAAUUCACCACCAGGAAUACGACACCACAGAGGAAAUGAGAAGUAAUGAAAGCAAGAGAAUGUUGAAGCUACUCACUUAUAGAGUAUGUUAUUAUAUAUAAGAUCUAUCACUAUCAGAAAUUAGAUCUAUGGUGACGGUUGCAAAACCGUUGCCAUAGACCUAUCGCAACGGUUCUGCAAGCGUCCCAUAGGUGGGUGAUGGUCGGUGGGAACUGAAUUGUAAAAUAUACUUUUGAGUUAAAAGCCCAUAACUUGUCAAGAAAAUAACUAAAUUCACCACCAGGAAUACGACACCACAGAGGAAAUGAGAAGUAAUGAAAGCAAGAGAAUGUUGAAGCUACUCACUUAUAGAGUAUGUUAUUAUAUAUAAGAUCUAUCACUAUCAGAAAUUAGAUCUAUGGUGACGGUUGCAAAACCGUUGCCAUAGACCUAUCGCAACGGUUCUGCAAGCGUCCCAUAGGUGGGUGAUGCGAUAGGUCUAUUGCAACGGUUUCUGCGACGGUUGUCUAAACUGACGCCAUAGGUAGAGCUAUGGUGACGGUUUCUGACAACUGUCGCCAUAGAUAGACCUACUGCGACGGUUAUUUUUUAACUUAUUGAGACGCCUAUUUUAUCUAUUGCAACGGUUACGAACCGUCGCAAUAGAUGCUAUUGUAAUGGUUAGUAACCGUUGCAAUAGCAGCUAUUGUGAAGCUUUUGUUGUUCUGUUGCAACGCUUUUGACUACCUAUUACAACUAUUUCAUUACGUAUUGGAACGCCUAUUUUAAUCUAUUGCAAUGGUUACGAAACGUUGCAAUAGCAUCUAUUGCAACGGUUACGAACCGUUGCAAUAGCAUCUAUUGCGACACUCGUAACCGUUGCAAUAGCAUCUAUUGCGACACUUUUGUUAUUCUGUUGCAAUGCUUUUUGGCUGCCUAUUGCAAUGGUUUAUUAAUAUAAAUUUUUAUUUACAUACAAAAUAAAUUAUAACACAAUAUAUACAUAUCACAAAACAAAAUCAUUCAUUAAUAAUCUCAUGAUUCAAAAUAUGCAACAAGCUAGUAAUCUAAACCCAAAAGUAAAUGUAAUCAAGCCCAAAUGAUUAGUUAAGUUUUUACAUACUAGCAAGUUCAAGUCACGAUAAGUUUCAAAAAAUUCAACAUAAAAUUAUUGAUAUUAGAGCAUUUAUCCACAACCCAAAAAUCUUCUCAAGUCAGGUCAGUGUCUUCAUCUCUUUCUUCAUUUUGGACACCUAUGAAAGAGAACAAAUAAUAUAAAUUAGAACUUAAAUGACAACGUAAACCACAUAUAAGUUAGCUAGUGAAGAGACAAAUCAGCCAAUCAUGGUUAGAAAGAAAUACAAACACCCAAAUAUGAGAUUAUAAAACUUAAAGAACAAUUGAAAUUGUUAAAAGAGAAAACUGCAGCUUCACAUUUAUAUAUGUCUAACAUAUGUGAUCCAGUUAGCAUGCAGUUCCACAGUUCAAAAGGAACACACGUUCCAAAAUGAAAAAACUCGAUUAUUCUCUAGUUUAACAAUUAGAUGUCUUAUAAUACUGAAGCAACAACAUUUUCAAUAUCACACAAUACUAUUUUUGAGUUUUAUUUGUCAUAGCCCAUAUGUACGAUCAUAUUUACUUAUUUAACAUCUUUAACAGAAAAAACCUUACACAAACCUUUCUUCUAUCAAAUCAAAAUCAGAGGAACACUCUGCACAUAAUACAACAUACAUUACCUUCCACAAAAUGAGACAUUAAGAAACAUAUUCAAUUGAUUUUACAACCCUCUAUGACCUUGAAGGGCAACAAAUAAUCUGAUAUGAAAUAAAACGAAUCUGGUAACGUAGUUUUUUUCCAUGAUUAGAUAACAUAGCCAAUACCUAGAUUUAGAAACAGUAUCUGGUGUACGGAGUAUGCCUUGUGGGGAUUCUGCAGCAAGCUCAACAACCUCUUUGUACUUGGUUUGAGCAAACAACUCUUAGAAUAGUUGGACAACCUGAAGCAAUACGAAGGAAAAUUAUACACCAAUAUCUCAUGAGGAGUGAGGAAGUACCUUGACAUUAACGAAGGGAAAUUAUACACCAAUAUCUCAUGAGGAGCGAGGAGGUACCUAGACAUUAAUAACUAUGGUGGCCACGAUUAUGAACUCCCAUUAUGUGCAACUUUCAGUUAAAUAAACUGAACUACCUUGACUAUGGCAAUACAAAGGACAGGGAAUAUUUCAGCAUACCAAAUAAUUUAAAGAAUAAUUGACAAACUUUUUCACAGUUCCUUUGUAUGUGAUUUAUUUCUACUGAUUAUGGUUUUGCUAAUACUUCUAACAAAUUUCAAAGUGAAAGAACAUCCUCGCAGAAGUCACUUAAUAGGCCUUGCCAGAGUGCCUUCUGCACAAGGCCCCUUUGCAGAAAAAGAUAUGUUUGAUAGAUUAAAAGAGCUCAUAGAAUUCAGUGACAAAAUUUUGGGCAUAUGUAAAAAGAAAAUGUUUGUGUAAAUCAAAGUAGUCAUAAACUGACAACUUGAGAAAGAGGAUAUUAGUAAGUUAGUGUUGCACGCGCAAGAAUCUGGAGAAGAUAGUAAUUUCUUGUUGCAUUGCAGGUUGACAGCACAAUUGUGAGCACUUGCAAUCUAGCUUAUAUAAUAGAUCAAGGGUGUUACACAAUGAAAGUGGAUGUUGCAACCACAAGCUAGACUAGGGAUCACAAAGAAUAAAACGUGGGAGAUAGACAGCCUCAAAAUCACCAAUACAUCACUUUUGGUGCUUAUGUAAUGCAAGAAAGAAAGAAUGUUCCAGUGUGCUGCAAUGACAUCAAAGGCAUUAAAAGAUCCUUCAUGUCUAACUUGUUAGCUUGGUGUAACGAUUGAAUAACAUGUUGUAUUGACAACUGAAAACUUGUUUAGAAUUUAGAUGCCAGCAGACAAUUUGUUCAAACUUUUGACAGCAACUUGAUGUUUAGUAAUGAAAACUUUUGACUUAUCAAUAGGAUUUUUUUUUUAAAAAAGAAGCAUUCAUCAGAUUAAAAAUGAAACAUUAAUUUGUGGAGUAGAUAUCCUUUAUCGUUAGAGCUCAAUUACCUAUUGUAGAUAUCCUUUAUCAUUAGAGCUCAAUUACCUAUUGUGCCUUAUCACCAUCAUCUUUGGAAUAGGCUCAACAAUUGCAAACGUAUCAACUAUCCAUUCAAAUCUACUGACUCAUAUUGAGAAAGCUCGGGACUUCCUAACAUUGGCACUUGAAGCCAACAUGUAUAUAAAGUGGACAGAGAUACCAUAAAAGAAUAUAUGAUUAACUUAUUCAUAAACCAAAAAGUUGUCUAGUUAGAAACCUAAGUCGGAGGGAUUAAGAGAUACCUAUCUAGCAGCUUUUGGUGCUUCGACGUUGCUUUAGCGACUGAAGGUAUGCCUCCAUUUAUUGUAGGAACAUGCUGCGUGGUUAAUAAUACAAUUUGUUAUAAGAAAAUUAACCAACACUGAAGAUGGUAUAUCUACACAAAAAUGGUGGCCGUUAAGGUUAUAAGGUUAAACGGUGGCCGUUAAGGUUAUAAGGUUGUUUACUAAUAUAAGGCUGUUUACUUAAUGAUGGUCGUUAAGUUUUACAUAUAGAUUAGUCUUUAAUCGGUGGCCGUAUAGAUUAGCAGGUUGGUUUCGCAAAUAAAACUAUAACCUUUAUGCAACAGAAAGAGAAUACACAUGGUCUCAACAAGGAGGAGAGUGCGCAGUAUGAGUAAAUUGCAAACCUUAGAAGAUGCCAAGAACUGCAGCAACCUGCAGUAGUUUAAGCAUUAGCUCAGAAACUGUCUCACCUGAGCAGGAAAACGAGAUUCACUAGGGUUCUUCUUGUCCUCCCAAGUAGACAAAUCAAUGUUUGAGCCACCAAAGCUAGCAACCUGCAACAAUUUAAGCAUUAGCUCAGGUUGAUUAUAUAAAUCUUUUGCAUUAAUUCUACUCUAUUCAAAGACAACUCAUCCAAAACCAAUACUGUCAAAACAAACAUACCCUAAAGUACCAUCAGAUCACCCAAUUCCUCUUGGAACUCAUACAGAUUUUGCUAUUUCCCAAGGGUAUUAUGGUAUAUGUGCAAAAGAAGCUUGGAAAUUUGGAUUUUGGGUUGUUGGGGAUAAAGGUCUGCUUUAGCGCCUCUUUCUUUACUUAAGCAAGUGUUGAUUCAUGAUAUAUGAGCGCCUAAGCAAAAAUCGCAAAAGAGUCCCCUAGUUACAAAAGGAACUUGGACUGCAUAAGCCGUAUCUCAAGUCAGAUUCUAUAGGUUGUUAAAAAAGUUGAUGCUUGAUUUUAAGUCCCAAAUUGACUCUUGGGUUAUUUCUUUGGCUUCAAUUACCCACACUGCAAUGUUUUACAUAAUAAUAUUGUGCACUCAUGCUUGUGAUUUUUUUUUAGGAUCACAAAAUGCCAAGAAUAGCACACCACCUUAUUAAUUAAGUAGAGGUCAAAAGAUAUUAUAACCUGGAUAGGUUUCUCUUUUUUGAGUGUCAAACGACAUAUUAUGCAAACUUGGUUAGGAAUAAGUUACUCCUAGAGUGGAUCUUACUCGAGCGGGUUCUUAAGAACCUUUCUACUUCUUAUCAGAAACUAGAGACUAUGGGGUAGCUAUGCUUUGCACCUAUACCAUGUCAUGGUAAUGAGCGGUGGGAUAGAGAGUCUUACGCUAAUCUCAAAGCUAUAAGAUUAUCAACCCCAAUGAUAAAAAUAAAAUGCAAGACUGUACAUUUCAAAGCUAAGGAAAUAAAAAGAUUUUAUAGCUUUCGAGUUCUGAUUAGUCGUAAUACACAACAAAGGAUUGUGCUCCAGGUAGCUGGUUGGUAUCUAAACUUUUCCCAUGUAAAAAUGUACCUUGGGUAACCUCUAUAGCAGGGAUAACUUCAAAAGAGUUAAUGAUCGAAACAAUGACUUAUUUUCAAUCAUUUAUAGACUUGACUCUCCAUGAGGACUUAGCAAAUAAUGACGAUUCAUAAAAUAGUGGUGUUGACACCUAAUUUUUGACCUUCAUAACUCAGUUUAAUUUUGAAUUUUUUCGAUUUUGAAAUAAAAUUACAACAUUUAUUUUAUCCGAAUAAAGGCUUUUCAAAGUAAUUGUCGGGGUGAUUUUAUCAUUUUAAGUAGUGAUUAUAUAUUAUCGUAUUAAAUUACACGAGAUUAUAUAAUUUGUUACUUAAAUAUUCAUUUUACAAAAUAUGAGAUUUUUAAUCAAGACUUAUCUUGAAUAUAAUAAUUAAAAUCUUGGUUCAAAUAUAAUUUAAUCUCAAAAAUAAUUUAUUUGGAUAAAUAUGUGUUUGAUUUUAUUAAAUCAAGAAGCUCGGGAUUAAGUGAGGUAUUAAUUUGUAUCGAAUUUCGGUUCAAUUUGGCCAUUCUAUCAAAUUUAGCUAUAAUUGAAAUCAAAUUGGCCUCAAUUGCAAUGCAAUUGGCUAAUUGAUUUUCAAUUUAGCUAAAAUUUAAACGAAUUCAAAUAGUUCUUAAUUCAAUUGGGGUUAUCUAUUAAAUAACCCCAAUUUCAACCCAUUUCUUAUCUUUAAUCACCAUCCCAAAUUCAACCUAACCACUCCAGCCCACCUUUCAAAUACCUUGACCCGACCCAACUCUUAAUUCCCCUCCCCCUUUAAUCAACAACAAUCAGCGUACAAACACAUAAACAACAACAUCAAUCAGCAAUCAACCUGCUUUAACCAACUAUAAACCUCUCAACUCAAAGACAACUCCAUCAACUUCGCGACCCAACCCGUAUCCCAUGAAACCCGUACCCGUUCCACUCGUUUUCAAAUGACAAAAACCUAGAAGCUUCAUAAAGUUGAUGCGCUGGCCCUCUCCAAUGUUUGAAUCCCGAGUUUGUCGGGUUGAUGUGUACAAUUUCGUACAAAGUUGGUCAAUUCUCAUUGGUUUAAGUAGUGCAUUUUGUUUUGCUUUUUUAAUUGGCCACCGAUGCAAUUUCUGGAGAGAAAUCCAAAAAAAGAAGGUACGGAUUGAGGUUGAAAAGCCAGGGGCAAGGGGGAAUUUUGAAUUUUGAAUUUCGAAUCCCUUAUUUUUAGAAAUCCCUAAUUUAAUCCUAUAGGACUUUCUAUAUAUAGCUCAACAUAGAGCCAUUCAAAGAGGAUUUUUUUUUGCUCUGGGGUUUCAAAAUUUUGGGGUUUGAAAAUUUGAUUGAGAAAGCUAGGGGGAAAUAUUUUUUCGAGAGAGAGUCUAGUUCGAAAACUGAGAGAGAAGGAAGAAAGGAAAAGAAAGAAACUUUUGGAGAAAAAUUAAUUCUUUAGUAUAAAUCCUGUUCUGGUUUUGAAAGUUCGUCAGCUAAAUUAGAGUCUCGAGUUGAUGGUGAAGAAGUUUUCUGGUGGUCGUGAUCUCUGUACGGAUUCAUCGUCUCGUUUUGCUGCUCCCAAACAGGUAACAUCCCAUUCCUUUAAGCAUUUGAUUGCUUCUGCUUCAUCUCACUAUUCUUUAGUAGUAAGUAAUUUGAGAACAUUCUGUAUGCUAGGUUGUCUGCUGUAGAGGUCUUAAAGACCAUAGGUUGUUAUUCUGGUGAAAGGUGUUGAAUCUAUUGUUAUGUUAGGAUUAAUCUAUGUUCGGAUUGACGAAUAUGUGGUUUCUGUCAUUUUUUUUUAUUUUCGUGUCAUGAUCUGUUGUCCACUCUUGGUGUUACUGAGUAAUUUUCAGCCUAUGCUUCACUUGAUGUAUUGUUUGUGGCUGAAAUGGCAGAUUUAUUAGGCAAAGUCUGUUGCUUUGAUUGUAUUCAGUGGUUUUAGUUGGAUGAUGUUUGGGUCGUAGUUGUUAUUUGAUUGUGUUUGUCUGUUGUUAUUACUGGAUGGUGUCACUAUUGUCGAGCUAGCGGCGUUGCUAGUAGAGCUACCUCUAAAAUUUCUUUGGCUUCUCAUGUACCAAAAGGACAAUGAAUAAGGUCCAAAACAUGCUAGAAAAUCCUAGGAUUACUGUCGUUUUGCUCAUUGUCACUGUUUGUCGUUAUCGUAACUGUUGAACCAGUAAUGUUCCAUCCUUUAGUUUUCGUCUUUUGUGUUCUUUCUUUUUGUUAUUUCAUAGUUGUAGUAAUUUUCAUGUAGCUCUGUUUGUUGGACUGUUUGUUGAAGAAGCCUUAGAAGGCUAUAGGAUUUUCAAUCGACUGUUUGAUCGAGAAGUCAUCCUUAUUGGUUGGUUUUUGUCUUGUCAAAGAAGAUUUGAUUUGCUGGUUGUUCUGUUAUAUUGAUUUUUUAACUACCUCAUCCGUAUAAAUCAUCAUUUCAUUUUGAAAUGCCUAUUUUUCCUAAGAUUAUAUGAUUACUUUGUUCAUCUUGAAUGUAAGUUGUUAAUUUCCUUUUGCGCAGCUUUUGUUCAAAUUCAAUAUAACUUUGUGUAAUCCUAUGCUUCACUAUAGCCUGUAGCUGUUUUUCUGAUUUUCAUGGCGUUACUCAAGAUGGCAUUUCUAUUUUGUGGGUAUUGUUUUUUCCUGGGUUGACUCGUAUUUAAAGUUUGAAAUAUUGUCUUGUGAUCAAUGUUUUCUUUUCUCCCCGAUCGAUUAUUUUCUUACAUAGUUCCUCCUUUCUUCUAGUCAAAUGUCUAUCAUCUCGACCUUUCUUAAAAUUGGUUACGUUCUCUUUGUUUAGAUGUUAAGGAUUAAUCUCUUUUUCUCCUAUAUCUAAAAUACUCUCUUAUGAAGUUUGAAGUGUUCACUGUUAAGAUAUGGAAUUUAAAAAAAAAGUUUUCUUUCAUGAAGAUUCAAAGGCUCCAUAUGCGUAUGAGCCUGUUAAUAUAUAUAUAUAUGUGUGUGAUUGGAUCACAUUCUGCAAUUUGCGUUGUGUCUUGAAUUGUGUUAAUGAAGGAUGGUUACUGCCUCUAUUUCAGGCAUCUGUUUGUGCUAACGAAUGUUUUUGAGAUCAUGCUUUAGGUAUGGAUUAAUUCUUCGUUGCGACUGAGUGCCAUUAGAUGUAGAAUGGGUGAUUUCUCUGAGAAAUUAUUAUGUUAAAUCUUAGUCUAAGUUUAAAUAUUUUCCAAGAACGAGCCUUUGUUUGGACUAAGAGCUUUCACCAAACUGUUUAUUGUCUUUCAAUUGGUCUUCUCAAACGGGGGCUCACCUUAUCCCUACGUGCAUAAACAACUAUUCCAAAUUCAUCGUGAAGGUGUCAUAUGCUUUGUCUUUAUGUUUUUGGAUCGGUUUUGCCAUUUUCGAAAACAAUGUCCUAACUGACUAGUUAAGGUCUGUGUCAUGUUGUUCUUUAGUUAGUUAUUUAGUUAUUUAUUUAUUUAAUCAUGUAUUAGUUAUCUUUAUAUUUUCUUCCUUCUUUUUGUUAAUUUUCCGGCUUUGUUGAUUAUUUAAGAUCCGUACGUUGCCCUUCUUAGUUAAACCUAUAUUAGUUUCCUUUUAAUUUUUUCCUCUCUUUGGUUUAUCAUGUGUUAGUAGGCUUCCUUCACUUUAUUUUACUUUCUUCCCCCCUUCUUCCUUUGUUUGAUUAUAUACUAAUGUGUUUUAUUUUCCCUCCUUUGCAUGGAAAUCAUUUGAGUCCUACAUGGACUCUUUCCUUUGUGCAUAUUCAUCAUGGGCUGCUAAGGCCUACUAUGUCUAUUGAGUCAAGCUCGAAAGAGAAUCCAUCGCAUGGCAUAAGGAUGCGAGGAGUCAAAAGAAGAAAAAUAGGUUAAAAUCCCAUCAUGGAAGUGGCAAAGGAGACUUGAAAGUCUCAUUUUUUUUAUUUACUUAUUCAUUGUUGCCUUCAUUUGUGUAUUUUUAUCUAUAUAGUUUAUUUCUUUAUUCAUUCAUUUGGGACACGAAGCCAAAAUUGUAUUUAGUAUAGGUGGAGCAGGAUUCGAGCCAAAUGCUCGAAAACUAGACUAGGACAGGUGAAAUGGGUCGAAAACCCAAUUAGACUAGGACAGGUCUUGUUGAUUUGGGCCCAAUGGCCUAAAUCCUUUACUUUCUCCUCCCUUCCCCUUUUAUGUGUUAUUUGUUUAUUAGUUUUGUUUAGACUUAGUUAAAAUCCCUACUAAGUCGCCUAAAUCUAUUUUACACAAGUUUUUUUUUUUAAAAUAUCAAAUCACUAUUUCAACAAAUUAAUCUUUUCAGAAGUUAAUCAAAAGAUGUUUUUAAACAAUCCGGAUAACUGCAAGUUAGCGGACGUUUUAGGUGCCUAACACCUUCCUAAAACUUUGAUAAGAACCGCUUACUCAAAAUCUCUUAACUUAAACGAUUUUUCUGUUUUGAAUCAUCUAAGUACAUUUAAAAGUUUCUUAAUUCGUUUUCAAAAUUAAGUGGCGACUCUUCAAAAAGUCAAAAUUUCUCUGCAAAACAGAAAUGGCGACUCUGCUGGGGACUUUUAACUAGGUUCUAACCAAAUGUUUGAUUUCGUCUUUUGAUUAACUAUUUAUGUGUUUAUAUGUUUCGAUUCUAUAAAGUUUAACUAUCACAUCUCAUGGCAUAUUCCUGCACUAUUUAAACUAUUUUGGGGUUUCGUGGAUGUCCCGAAAACUGCACUAUUUAGAAAAUCCUCCUUGUGUCUAUUGACCCCGAGUCAAUUAUAGACGAAUCAUAUUUAUGUGUUGAAAAAAAUAUAUGCUUGUCUAAUUCAAUCCAUUACCCUUUAGGGUCGGCUGAAGGCUUAUCUUUGUCUGCUUUCGUGUAGGAUAUGGCUCAACUACAUUUCCACGAAAAGUUCAAGAUGGUUACUAAACCUGAUGAUUUCUUGAAACUAUGGUGGGAUCACAUGAGCGCAAAAGAGAGAAAGAUUGUUAGAACAAACAUCGGGUAUCUCUCUUAUUUGAUCGAGAUGGACGCUUGGCCCGAAAUGAUACAUGUACUAACAACUUUUUGGGAUAAUCAAAAUAUGGUAUUUUGCUUCGGGGAUGUUGAAUUGACUCCUACCAUUGAAGAGGUAUUGAUUUUUUACGAGAGUACAAAAAUGUGUUUUAAGAGAAGGGAGACACCGGAUAAGAACAUUUUAGUCCCGGUUGUGUGGGAUUGUCAAAAGAUCAAGGAGGUAUUUUUAACUGACGACACCUGGCUAGGAGACCGUGAUGAAGCAAAUGCCACUUUUCGUGAGUUGUAUUAUCAGUUCGAAAGAUUCAAUGCUUUUCAUAAAUUUGGGCAUAAAUUUGAGUCAUAAGAAAAAUGGAAGGAGACGAGAGCCUUUGCAUUUUCGGUAGGUCCUACUUGGAACCAUGGUGUUCCCACAGGGGGAAAAUAGCACAAUUCAUCCAAGGGUUGUCUCAGUGACCCAUCCACUCUUCUUUGGAAUGGAGUACAAUUCUAAAAAGGUAACCACAACUUAGCUUCCAUGAUUGUCGCCGACAUAUAUCGAGCUUUGGGAAGAUGUCAAGUCGAGAAUCAUUUCUUUCAUGGUUGCACCUUUAUAUUACAAUGGUGGAUGAUGAGCAUUUGGUGAAAAAUCCUAGAACGGCAUAACCUGAUCACAAAACAAGAAGGAAUCUACUAGAAUUGCACGACAUGUGGUUGUUUUGACAUAAGUUAAAAGGGAAGCAUCUCAUGAAUUUUGGUUUAAGACUCUUGGAGAAUUAAGAGAUGACGAUGUCCAAUGGUCCAUUAACUAUCUUCAUUUAGGGAAAUAUACUAUUCGAGGGGGCGAGUGGCCUUUUCUAGUACUUUCGGGUCUCAGGGGAACCGUCCCUACAAUCUUGGCAAAGUUCUUAGGCAAUUUGAGAUCAAGCAGGAGACGCCUCAAAUCGAUUCUAUGCUCAGAUUCUUCACCAAAUAUGAUGAAAGUGAGCUCCCGCUCAAAGAAUACAUGAUAAACGGAUGGAGAAUAAGAAGGUGGACGGAAGUCUCUUUCCGUAUAGGGUAUAAACCUGAAGACAGCGACACUUACAAGGAGUGGUUCAAAAAGAGCCUCAUUGGAACAUUAAUUUUGGGGCCGAAGGUGCCCACUCAGGUUGUGGAUGUAGAAUUCGAGCAUCAGAUCUGACUCCACAAGGUUCAGGAUGAGUUUCAGAAAAGUGAAAUCGCGCACCGACAGAUGCAUGUAGAAGAUUCUUUAACAAUACGUAUGUUGAGGAAAGAGUUGAAAAGAGUUAGGCAAGAUGCUAAUGAUGCUAGGUAGUGUUUAAUCGAUUUGGAUGAUAGCAUGGCCUCUCAACUCGAUAGUAUAAGAAAAAUGACUUACAACAGCAAGGCACAGUUAUGUGGGAGUCAUCUGAUCAUCAAUAGGUAGCAAAUAGAACAGGAGGUGAACAAGGCAAAGAAGGCAAAGGCAUACGAAGGAGACUCCGGUAGCUAGUUUUUCUAUUUCCCCUGCGUGGGAACUUAUCUUUUUUUAUGUUAUUUCCCUUUUUCCCUAAAGAUUGUAUCCCUCUUUUGUUAUCCUUUGUAGGCAUUUAUGCCCUUUUUUUGUGUCUAUAUGAUUUGGGGGAUAAUGGAUUGACUUCAAGGAAGCAUAUAUUUUCUUCAAAAUCAUUAGGCCUGAACCCUUGGCUCAAAAAGGGUCACCCCAGUUAGGAUAUGCAUUAUAUUAAUGUUUUGUGUAAUAUAAUUGUCUUAUGUGCUUGUGUGUGUUUGUUUGGAUCAAAGGAAAGUUUAUCCACUAUGCUCCUAUGGAUGAAUUUGGCUAUGACUCAAACAACUUUACGUGAUUAUUUUUUGUCAAAUAUUUUGCAUUACUUAUCACAUACGGACACUAACACAUCUGCCUUUGAGUUGUUUUACAUUAUAGAUAAUAGAAACUACUUCGUGUUGAUUUAAGCUGGAAGAACAUCCCUAAUUCACCCGGUCAAAAGCAUACAAAAUCCCACCCUUUAACCAUCAUUCAAUAAUGACUGAAAAUGAGGAAGAGAACACAUUAACCAUCAGGGACAAUGUAAUAGCGAAAUAGAGUGAGAUGAUUGCGGAACUCACAAGAAAGUUUGAAAUGCUUCAGGAGGAAAUAAAUCGUACUCGAGAUUUGGCUCACCUGGCCAUUAUUUUUAAUGAUCCCGCUCUAGGAGGACAUGGGACUCCACUCCAAACCCCUUUCCUCAGUAUGCCUAUUCUCGGUGAUCAGCCAAAUAACAUAUCGUCCAUCUCUGCCCCUCCACUUUUCCAAAAUACCAAUCGUGAAAAUAACCCAGAUGCUUACCAUCCAUAAAAUCCAUCUCUAACCCCGCAAAACCCAUCUCUGAAUCCAUUCCCAAAUCCCCAAAACCCAUUUGUAAAUCAACAAAAUUCAUGCCCAAAUCCACAAGAUUCACUCCCAAAUCCACAAAAUCCAUCCCCGAAUCUUCCAUCGAAUCUAUCCUUGAAUCCACCAAAUUCGUUUCCAAAUUUGCAAAAUCCUUCUUAGAAGCCACCAAACUACUCGCAAAUUCCAGAAAACCUUCCCAAAUUUCAAAACGUCCUCCCCACCUACCAACCAAAUUCCUUUCAUCCGCAAAAUCAAGCCUCUCUUCCAAGUCCUCCUUAUGCCAUCAUAUGCCCCGACAUUUAUAAUCCCCUUCCUUUUCCCGAGAUAGAACAUUACGAAGAGAAGGAGAAAUAGUGGAGAACCGAGUAUGAGAUAAAGUUGCUAGCUAUGAAUGAAGAGAUCAUGUGGAUCAAAUAAUCUCAUGGAGUGAGGGACCACGGCGAUUUAGGGUACGAUGACUUAUACAUUUACCCUGGAGUAGAUCUACCAGAAGGGUACAAGGUCCCCAAGUUUAAAGUGUUCAACGUUAUCGAAAACCUAAUGGCCCAUCUGAGAAGGUAUUGUGAUCAAAUGGUGGGGGUAGGGAAAAAUAAAGCAUUAUUGAUGCAUUUGUUCAGCCGGAGUUUAAAUGGCGAAGCCUUAGAAUGGUUCAUGUCUCAGGAAUUAAAAAGAUGGACUAGUUGGAAAGCAUUGGCCAAGGGUUUCCUUGACAAGUUCGUGUUUAACGCUGAAAUAGUCCCUGACUGAUAUUCACUAGAUUAGAUCAAACAAGGAAGUGAUGAAUGUUUUUGUAACUAUGCUUUCCGUUGGAGAAAAGAAGCUGCCAAAGUGCAACCCCCCAUGUCUGAGAAAGAAAUGGUAUCUGUGUUCUCUCGCGCUCAAGAAGGAGAACAUUAUACCAGGAUGGUGUCCGCUGUCAGGGCGAGUUUUGCAAAUUUGGUAAAAAUAGGAGAAUCAAUGGAAGAAGGUAUUCGUAUAGGAAAAACUGCCAAGACUCCAACAUCAUCCGGAACUUCUAUGUUCUCGAAGAAGAAAAAGGAGGAUGUAGGCACGAUUUCUGCUGAUUCUAUUGCAAAAAUAAAAAAGAGGUUCAACUCUAGGAAUAUUUUCUCUUCUCCGCCGUCACCAAACUUUCAUCAUGUAUUCUACACCCAACCCUAAUACCAAGCUUCACUCCUAAAUGCCCAACCUCAGUACCAAACUCCACUCCCAAAUAGCUAACACCAGUACCAAGCUCCACUCCCAAAUGUCCAAUCCCAAUUCUUGCUCCACAUCUAAAUAUUUUUCCCCAAUAUCAAGUUCCACCACCGAAUUAUCAUCCUCAUGUCCAAUCCACUCUUUAAACAACUGAAUAAAUACCCAAGCACCUCCGAAUUAUCAUCAAGUGCCUCCUCCUGCAAAUCAGAAUCACUAUAACCCUCCGCGUCCAAACAUCGAAAAGAAACCGCCCCGAAACUUCACGCCACUUACGAAAAGUCCCACCAAACUAUUUGAAAGAUUGAAGAAUGCCGAUCAUUUACAACCGAUCCAUCCAAAUUCUGUCAAUCUCAACUCCAAAUUUUAUCAUCCUGAUCAAAAUUUUGCCUAUCAUUCAGGAGCAACAGGGCACAGUACCUAGGACUGUAUUACCUUGAAACAUAAGAUCUAAUAUUUGAUUGAUCAAAAGGCCAUCACACUUUAGUCACCGAUGCCAAAUGUCAACAGUAACCCAUUGCCUAAUCAUGGGGACUUACAGUUUACAUGAUUGAAUAGAAAAAGAAUGGGUAUCUGGAAAGACUAUUACUAAGGUGAAUUCAGAAAAGUGUAAAAGGGAGGAAGAGGUAGAAAAAAUAGAGAGAGCUGUGGCUACCUUAAGUGUCAAUGAGAAACCCCAUUUAUAGUGAUGAAGGCCUCGAUCCAAGUGUACACUCCCCCACCAAGGAAAGAGUUUAUUGUACAGACCGCUGCUGCCCAAAGGAUGACACGAUUGGGACGAUGCUACAUCCCUGAAGAAUUGAUCAACCAAAAAGAUUCAUAGAAAAGGCCAAUCAUUGAAGGGGAGGCUGAGGAAUUUUAGAGGCAUAUGCAACCGAAAAACUAUUCAAUUGUCAAAUAUUUAGAGAAGACUCCUGCCCAAAUUUCCAUUUUGGCAUUAUUAAUGAGCUCACAAUACCACCAACAAGCUCUAUCAAAGGUCUUGGAUGAAUCAUAUGUUCCCACAGGAAAGAGUGUUGAGAACCUGGAUGUGAUGAUAGGAAAUAUUAUGGGAAAUCAUCGCAUAUCAUUCAGUGAUGAAGAGUUGUCGUUUGAGAGAGUGAUGUACAACAAAGCCUUGCACGUCACUGUCAUUUGCCAAGACUAUGCGAUUAAUUAGGUAUUGCUAGAUGACGGAUCUGGUGUGAACAUUUGUCCUCUCCCCACGUUGGUUCAAAUGGGCUAUGAUUUGGGGAAAAUUCAUCAAAGCUACCUAAGUGUGAGAGCAUUUGAUGGAGGGUAGAGAGAUACCAUAGGAAAAAUUGAUUUGUACAUCCAAAUGGGAUCUGCUGAGUUCAAAACUAAAUUUUAUGUUAUGGAUAUUCAUCCUAGCUACAACCUGCUCUUGGGAAGACCAUGGAUACAUGUUGCAAAGGCCAUUUCAUCACCCCUUCAUUAAUUAUUGAAGUUCAUUUGGGAGGAUCAUGAAGUAGUCAUCCAAGGGGAAAGAAGCCGAGCGGAUUAUCCCAAUGGUUAUGUGUCGGUGAUUGAAGAUGUUUCAAAGGGUAGUAGUUUAUAUACAGUAGAAAUUGUAAAUGCUGUGGAGAAGAAUCUAACGCCCAAAGCGCCAAUGCCUUCUGUCUACAAAAUGAUUACGAUGUUGAUGUUAAGAAAUGGAUUCGAUCCUGGUUGGGGGUUGGGUAAGAGUCUGCAAGGAAUUAUUGAGACCAUCAUGAUCCCAGAGAAAGCCUCUAAGUAUGGGUUAGGAUAUCGGCCUACAAAGGAGGAUGAGAUUGAUAAUAAGUCAGAGGCGAAUCUGUUUAGGCCUCUACCACUCCUAUACCAGUCAUUUCCCAUGUGUGAGAUAUUGAAUGAUGAUGGACUUAGGGAUGGGAUAGGAAAUCUGUUCCAGGGAUGCAAUGUUGUACCAGAAGAUUUCCCAAAGUCUAGUGGAGUGAAGAAGAUUGCACCAGGGGAGGCCUUGCAAAACUGGACCUCCACUCCAUUUAUAACCCAUUACCCAUCAUGGUGGAUGAAAGGGCAAUUACUAAUAGUUUCUUAAAAUCGGUGAUGAUCCGGAUGAGGCCCUGCGAUCCACCCUUUACAUCUCAAAUUUUCUUUUCGUAUUUUACUGCUUUCAAAAGGCAUGGGCUUAUGUUUACGCGAGUCAUGAGCCAUAGUUUGUAAUUAUCUCUCAAAUUUUAAUGAAAAGGCCUUUCCUUAUUUAAAAAAUAAUAAUAAUAAUAAUAAUAAUAAUAAAAUAAAUAAAUAAAUUAUUUUUCAAAACAACACUAUUUAUACAUUUUAUUAUUAUCUUGUUAUCAUCUAACUUGGUUUGUUUGUUUAUUACAGUAACAGUUACUCAAAACCUGCCAAUGCCAUGUCAUGUCAAAGCUUAGAUGAACAAAAUAAGGGGAAUGGUGAUGAUUGAGAGGAAGGUGAUGAGAAAUGAUUAGUUAAAGAUAUAGAGGAGUUUGAGAACCGAGAUAAGCCCAACCUAGAGGAAACUAAAACAGUCAACCUGAGAGAUUAUGAUGAAAUCAAAGAAACAAGUGUCAGUGUCCACCUGGCGGAAGCACCAAAGAGAGAUCUCAUUUACCUUUUGCGGGAAUACAUUGACGUGUUUGCCUGGUACUAUGAUGAUAUGCCGGGAUUAAGAACUAGCAUUGUGUUGCAUAAGUUGCGGAUAAAUCCUGAGUUUGAUCCAGUCAAGCAAAAAAUGCAAAAAUUCAAGCCAGAUUUAAGUCUAAAGAUCAAGAAAGAAGUGACAAAACAAAUCCAGUCUAAGGUUGUGGAGGUAAAAAAAUAUCCGACAUGGCUAGCCAAUAUUGUCUCGGUGACGAAGAAGGACGGCAAGAUUCAAAUUUCUGUUGACUAUAGAGACUUGAAUAGGGCCAGUCCUAAAGAUAAUUUUCCGCUGCCCAACAUCCACAUCCUCAUUGAUAAUUGUGCAAAACAUAAAAUGCAGUAUUUCAUUAAUUGUUUUGCGGGUAUCAUCAGAUAUUGAUGGAUGAGGAAGACGCAGAAAAAAUGGCUUUUAUUACGCCCUAGGGUGUUUAUCAUUACAGGGUAAUGCCUUUUUGUCUCAAGAAUGCGGGUGCAGCAUAUAUGAGGGCUAUGAUGAGCAUUUUCCAUGAUAUGAUUCAUAAAGAGAUUGAGGUGUACGUGGAUGAUGUAAUUAUUAAAUCCCGCGAGAGUUCGGAUCAUCUGACCCAUCUGGAGAAAUUCUUUAACAGAUUAAGAAAGUACAAUUUGAAGUUAAACCCUGCUAAGUGUGCUUUUGGUGUGCCAUCAGGAAAGUUAUUGGGAUUCAUAGUCAGCAGGAGAGGCAUCGAGCUAGACCCAUCCAAAAUCAAGACAAUUCAGAAUUUUCCAUUGCCGAGGACCAAGAAGGAGGUUAUAAGUUUCAUGAGCCAUUUGAAUUACAUUAGCAGGUUCAUUGCUCAGUCAACAGUCAUAUGCGAGCCAAUUCUCAAGAUGUUGAAGAAAAAUGCAUUGAAUGAGUGGACAGAAGAAUGUUAGAGAGCUUUCGACCGCAUCAAGGAAUAUUUGUCUGCACCGCCAGUUUUGGUUCUGCCCAGAGAAGAAAUUCCAUUGCUGCUUUACCUAUCAAUCUCAGAAAAUGCUAUCGGAUGUGUCCUCGAGCAACAUGAUGAGAUCGGUAGGAAAGAGAAAGCCAUCUACUACUUGAGUAAAAAGUUUACACCAUAUAAAGCCCGUUACACUCUCAUAGAAAGGAUAUGUUGCGCUCUGACUUGGGCUGCACAAAAGUUGAGGCAUUAUCUGUCAUCAUACACAACAUACCUCAUCUCGAGAAUGGAUCCUUUAAAGCAUAUAUUCUAGAAAGCCAUGCCCACGGGAAAGCUAACCAAGUGGCAAAUAUUGUUGAGCGAGUUUGACAUCGUGUAUGUAACUCAAAAGGCAAUCAAGGGGCAAGCUUUGGCAUAUCAUUUGGAAGAGAAUCCAGUUGAUGAUGAAUAUGAGCCACACCAAACUUACUUUCUAGAUGAGGAAAUUCUAUUUGUGGGAGAAGACAUUACAAGAAUUUACCAUGGAUGGAGGUUAUUCUUUGAUGGAGUGGUCAACUUCAAAGGUUCAGGAAUUGGAGCAGUAUUGCUGUCAGAAACUUGCCAACACUAUUAAGUGACCGCUAAGUUGCGUUUCUCGUGCCCCAAUAACAUGGCCGAAUAUGAGGCUUGCAUCCUAGGUCUCAAACUGGCACUUGAUAUGGGUGUUCAUGAAUUGCUAGUCAUUGAGAUUUCAGAUUUGCUGAUUCACCAGGUACGAGGAGAAUGGGCGGUAAAAAAUUCCAAAAUUACUCCUUAUGUAGAGCUGGUGCAUGAAUUAUGUGGAAAAUUCAAAGAAGUUGAUUUCAGACAUAUUCCAAGGAUACAAAAUAAGUUUGCUGAUGCUUUGGCCACUAUAUCUUUUAUGAUUCAGCAUCCAGAUCAGUGUUACAUUGAUUCUUUGGAGAUAACCUUGAAGGAGCAACCCGCACAUUGUGCACACGUUGAACAGGAUCCUAAUGGAAAGACAUGACACUAUGAUAUUAAAAAGUAUUUAGAAUCUGGAAUAUAUCCAGACGAGGCCAGUAACAACCAAAAGAAGCCAAUCCAGCGUUUGGCAAAGAACUAUUUUCCAAGUGGGGAAAUCUUUUUUAGGAGGAGUCCAGAUUUAGGAUUCUUAAGAUACAUCGAUGCUGCAGAAGCCAAUAAAUUGAUAAAAGAAGUACACGCUGGAGUAUGCAGUCCCUACAUGAAUGGGUUUUCCCUUGCUAGAAAGAUCCUGAGAACCGGUUACUUUUGGAUGACUAUGGAAAAUGAUUGUAGUAGGUAUGUGCAGAAGUGCCCAAAAUGUUAGAUACACAAAAAUUUGAUUCGAAUGCCUCCACAUGAGCUUCAUGUGAUGAAUUCACCUUGGCCUUUCGUAGCUUGGGGAAUGGAUGUUAUUGGACCAAUAGAGCCACCGGCAUCGAAUGGGCAUAAAUUUAUUUUAGUUGCUAUUGACCACUUUACUAAGUGGGUCAAAGCUGCUUUUUAUAGAGCCGUCACCAAGAAAGUGGUUUCAGAUUUUAUCAGGAAUAGAUUGAUUUGCCGAUUUGGAGUGCUAGAAUUGAUUAUUACUGAUAAUGAGGCAAACUUGAACAGUCACUUGAUGAAUGAUAUUUGUGACCAAUUUAAAAUAGUGCAUCGCAACUCGACCACAUAUCGUCCACAGAUGAAUGGAGCCAUGGAAGCUGCCAAUAAAAACAUCAAGAAGAUCUUGAGAAAGAUGAUAAAAAAUUAUAGAUCAUGGCAUGAGAUAUUGCCUUACUCUUGGCUUGGGUAUCGCACGACAGUUCAAACCUCCACCGGGGCGACUCGUUAUCUAUUGGUUUAUGGGAAUAAAGCUGUGAUACCUGCUGAGGUUGAAAUACCUUCCCUAAGGAUUAUUCAGGAAGCCGAACUAAGCAACGAAGAAUGGGUUCACGUUCGCUACGAAUAACUCAUAUUGAUUGAUGAAAAGAGAAUGGUUGUUGUAUGUCAUGGUCAGCUGUAUCAGCACAGGAUGGUUCAUGCCUUUAACAAAAAAGUAAGAACUCAAACAUUCAAAGUUGGGCAAUUGGUUCUCAAGCGUAUAUUUCCUCACCAAGAUGAGUACAAGGGCAAGUUCACUCCAAAUUGACAAGGGCCAUACAUAGUUGCAAGGUACUAUAUCUAGGGGCUCUGAUUUUGUCUGAGAUGGAUGGUCAAGAGUGGACUAAACCAAUCAAUUCCGAAGCAGUAAAAAGAUAUUAUGUUUGAAAGACGUGCUAAGUUUUGCGUUCCUUAGUUUACUCGUAAUUGCCUUUAUAGUAAUGUAGUUUUAUAAUGUGUAAUUGCCUAGAACCCUUUUCCCUUUAUGUAUGAACUAUGUUUGACCUUCAAAGAGGGAUACGUAGGCGGCCUAUAUCGGUUUUGGUCAACCCCUUAGGAAAAUUUAUCCUUUCCCUUUAUGUAUGACCUACGUGAUGACUUGAAUUCUCAAGAAUGAGAUACAUAGGCGGCCUAUGUUGGCUUUGGUCAACCCAUUAGAUUUUUCUAUUUAUAUCCCUAGCAUAGUAUUGAACUACGUUUGACCUAAUUCCUGCUUCAACGGGAUACGUAGGCGCCCCAACGGCUCUGUCAUAUAACCCUAGUAAAUAGAAACUAGGUAGAGUUUUUGAGAAGGAAUCUCGAAAAUUCACAAAAGAAGAUCAACAAGGAGAAUAAAGACCAACAAAGACUUUAAAUCCACUCGAGAUGACAUCAUCUCACACUACUUUAAAUGGGGGCAUAAAUUUUAAGGAGGUCCUCAAAAUUUCCACUAAUAUAUUGAAAUAUGUUUCAAAUUUCCCAGCACUAGGGGUUGAAGUUGAGAUUUGAGAAUCACCACCUAUGAUAAAGUCUAGGAAGAUUGAAUCUCUGCCUUUGAUAAAACUUCUAAUAGAGAGCCUCGACAAUGCUGAAUCCCUAGCGAUCCUCCGUCAAAUGUCGGACAUUUUCAGAAUCAAGAAAAAGAUGGUUGUUGAGCUAGCACAUUACAUGUUUGACAGAGAUUUUCUAAAGUUUUGUAGGAGUUUUCGAAACUAUUUUCUAAAAAUUAAAACUACUUUCAAAAAUAUAUAUAAAUCUUUUACUUAGUGAUUGCCCAGACAUCAAUUAGGAUGGGGAGUCAGGGGUGGAAGUCCCAACAUAACGGAGUACACAAAAGAUGGUGUGGAGUAAAUGGAGAAUCGAAGAAGGUCAACACGGAUUAGUUUCAUUCAAACUAAUCAUUUUUCUGUGGAUACAAGGAUCGAUAUACAAAAUGAGUGUUUCUUUCAAAAAAUCCCCAAGUAAGUCGGGAGCCAUGUCAUAGCAUAUAAUGCUUAAGAACGAUAUUUUUGGGUAGCUCAAAAAUGGGUUUAACACCCAUUUAUCGAGGACCAUUUGAAUUAUCCAUCUCAUUUCUUGAGAUCAUGGAGGACAAACAAAGGCGUCUUCUUUUCUUUAAGAACAUUGUAUUUAGAAUUUUUCUAAAAAAAUGGUUGCUAGAAAAAGCGACUUUGUGUCUACUAAUCGUCUACUUCAAGUACAGGUACAUGUAGAAAGCAAGACGCAGAAAAAAAACUCAGGUGAAACUAUUUUUAAAUUGCCAAGAGGGCCAUUGCAUAUCAUUUUCAAGAGGGUCAUUGCAUAUCAUUGCCAAGAGGGUCAUUUCAUAUCAUUGCCAAGAGGGCCAUUGCAUAUCAUUGCCAAGAGGGCCAUUUCACAUCAUUUCUAAGAGGGCCAUUGCAUAUCGUUGCCAAGAGGUCUAUUGCAUAUCAUUGCCAAGAGGGCCAUUGAAUAUCAUUGCCAAGAGGUCCAUUGCAUAUUAUUUCCAAGAGGGCCAUUUCACAUCAUUGCCAAGAGUUCCAUUCAUAUCAUUGCCAAGAAGGCCAUUUAUAUCAUUGCCAAGAGGACCAUUCAUACCAUUUGCCAAGAGGGACAUUUCAUAUCUGUUGACACACAAGACAUAAACGCUGGCGUCAAGGAUAUCAUAAGCAUUUCAUAUCCGUUGACACAUAAGACAUUAACACUAGCGUCGAGUAUAUCAUCAGCAUUUCAUAUCUAUUGACACGCAAGACAUAAACACUAGCAUCGAGGAUAUCAUCACCACCAUUAAAUAUUUGUUGACACACUAGACAUAAAGCUGGUGUCGAGGAUAUCUUAUCAUUUUAUGAAUCAGCAUCUGAAUAUAUCAAGAGCACACGAUUUGAACGGAUGCUUUUAAGUCGUUAUCCAAGGAUGAAUAAUAUAUAAGAUUUCCUAGAAAUUGACAAUUUGGGGGUCAUCUAUAAGUCAUAUUAUUUGAAAUAGGAUAGUGUUCAAGAUCACCUAUGAUUUGAUAGCCUGUAGGUCAUCCAAAAGUCAUAACAACAUCCUAACCGGAUAGUGUGCAUGAUCGCCAAAAAGUCGACAGUCUGGAGGUUAUCCAUAAGUCGCAACUAAAUCCUUACCGGAGAAUAUGUGAGAUUAUCAAAUUGAUAUGUCCAAAGGUUCUCUAUAAGCCGCGUCAUAUCCAUGAUCGAUUAUGUGCAGGAUUAUCUAUAAGUCAUAUUGUAUCCAAGGUCGGAUGAUGUGUAGGGACACCUAAAAGCUAGAGAUUGGAGGCAUAUCUGUAAGCCAUCUCUUAUCCAAGGUCAGAUAAUGUAGAGGAUUACCUAAAAGCUAGCAAUUCAAAGGAUAUCUGUAAGUAGCCUCGUAUCCAACAUCAAAUAAUGCGCAAGAUUAUUCAAAGAUUGACAAUUUAAGAAAAAUUUAUAAAUCGAUCAUUGGCUAUAACCGGAGAGUUUAUCAUUCCAUAUACAUCAAGCGAUACAGGUGACCAAAAGGGUUGCCUCAUCAAUACAAGAUUACACAGUUGCAAGGACCGUUCUGCAUAAAGUAUUGCCGGUAUUCAAAAAGGCCACCCCACUUUGAAGACAUAUUCAACUGACAAAUAUCAUAAUUAUACAAAAACCAAGAUGGUUGUUUUAUUUGUCGUUGCCAGUUAUUUCAUUCCAAAUAGGUACAUGGAAAAAUGACUUCACUUCUUAGACAACAACUCACGUGGAGAUAUGGUAAAAAAAUAUAUGCCUCUUCCGUGAAUUAUGUUUAGCACUAACAAUUUUGUUUGAGAUAUUUUCGAGAGCAUCCGAGAGGAUGAAAAUAUCAAAUCAAAGCCACAGGUGUGGACGACUCCAGGUAGGACGCAGCACAACAUGGAACUCCAGUCUAGAGAGUGAUGUUAAACUCUCUGGAUGCGAGCUAAAGGAUGAUCACCACCACCAUCCAACCACACCCCUGUUAGAAGGCAUGUGGGUAUUUUGGGAUAUUCUAUGUCUCAGCUUCAACUUCGGGAUAUUUUUUAACUCAUGCCGAGGGUAACCUUCUCUUUCUUACAAAUUCGAGUGAUAGGACUCCUAGAGUCUUUGAAAUUAUGCCCAGCUAAGUUCUUGCCUAUGGGUGUGAAGGAUCCCACAUUCAUGGUUAAGAGGUUACAAGCCUCUUUUCUGAAACUUGAUCAACUUGUCACUCAGCUUGAGCCAAAGAUCGUCUAAAAUAAAAGACUAUCUUUCCUAUCGAUUGAGUCGAACUAUAAGUAGUAUGAUUCCCUGAGUCUCAAGGAUAUGUAGGCUGGGAUCUAUGUAGCAAACUCGACUGCAUUCCAACCUCCCCCAAAUCCCUUUAUUUCCUAGCUUUUCAGUAGUUAAAAACUCCAAAAAAACUGAGAUAGCUGGUGAUUUUUUUGAAAAUCGUGCCUUAAAACAAGUUUUAUGAACUACAAGUGGCCUAGAUUCUCUUAUAACCUGAGAUAUGUAGGAAACCCGACCUGGGUUUGGCCAUGACUCUAUGAGACUUGUGCGAAAGCUAACCUUUUUUAGUUUUGAAUUUAUGGUGGAACAAAAAUUAGGAACGUCAACCUCCAUUUGACCAGGGUUACUUGCAUCCACCCUACCUAAAGGGAGGGGCAGUUGUUGACACCUAAUUUUUGCCCUCCAUAACUCAGUUUAAUUUCGAAUUUUUUCGAUUUUCAAAUAAAAUUACAACAUUUAUUUUAUCCGAAUAAAGGCUUUUCAAAGUAAUGGUCAUGGUGAUUUUAUCAUUUUAAAUAGUGAUUAUAUAUUGUCGUAUUCAAUUACACGAGAUUAUAUAAUUUGUUACUUAAAUAUUCAUUUUACAAAAUAUGGGAUUUUUAAUCAAGACUUAUCUUGAAAAUAAAUAUAAUAAUUAAAAUCUUGGUUCAAAUAUAAUUUAAUCUCAAAAAUAAUUUAUUUGGAUAAAUACGUGUUUGAUUUUAUUAAAUCAAGAAGCUCGUGAUUAAGUAAGGUAUUAAUUUGUAUCGAAUUUCAGUUUAAUUUGACCAAUCUAUUAAAUUUGGCUAUAAUUGAAAUCAGAUUGGCCUUAAUUGCAAUGCAAUUGGCUAAUUGAUUUUCAAUUUAGCUAAAAUUUAAAAGAAUUCAGCUAGUUCUUAAUUCAAUUGGGGUUAUCUAUUAAAUAACCCCAAUUUCAACCCAUUUCUUAUCUUUAAUUACUAGCCCAAAUUCAACCUAACCGCUUCAGCCCACCUUCCAAAUACCUUGACCCAGCCUAACUCUUAAUUCCCCUCCUCCUUUAAUCAACAACAAUCAGCGUACAAACACACAAACAACAACAUCGAUCAACAAUCAACCAACUUCAACCAACGAUAAACCUCUCAACUCAAAGACAACUCCAUCAACUUCGUGACCCAACUUGUAUCCCACGAAACUCAUACCCGUUCCACUCGCUUUCAAAUGAUAAAAACCUAGAAGCUUCAUAAAGUUGAUGCGCUGACCCUCUCCAACGUUUGAAUCCUGAGUUUCUUGGGUUGAUGUGUAUGAUUUCGUACAAAGUUGGGGUUGAGUGUCAAAAAAAGAGGUACGGAUUGAGGUUGAAAAGCCAUGGCAAGGGGGAAUUUCAAAUUUUGAAUUUUGAAUCCCCUAUUUUUAGAAAUCUCUAAUUUAUCCCUAUAGGCAUUUCUAUAUAUAGCUCAACAUAGAGCCAUUGAAAGGGGAUCUUUUUUUUGCUCAGGGGGUACAAAAUUUUGGGGGUUGAAAAUUUGAUUGAGAAAGCUAGGGGAAAUAUUUUUUUAAGAGAGAGUCUGGUUCGAAAAUUGAGAGAGAAGGAAGAAAGGAAAAGAAAGAAACUUUUGGAGAAAAAUAAAUUCUUUAGUAUAAAUCCUGUUCUGAUUUUGAAAGUUCGUCAGCUAAAUUAGAGUCUCAAGUUGACGGUGAAGAAGUUUUUCAAUGGUCGUGAUCUCCGUACCAGUUCAUCAUCUCGUUUUGCUACUCCAAAAUAGGUAACAUCCCAUUCCUUUAGGCAUUCGAUUGCUUCUGUUUCAUCUCACUAUUCUAUAGUAGUAAGUAAUUUAAGAUCAUUCUGUAUGCUAGGUUGUCUGCUGUAGAGGUCUUAAAGACCAUAGGUUGUUGUUCUGGAGAAAUGUGUUGAUUCUAUUGUUAUGUUAGGAUUAAUCUAUGUUUGGAUUAUCGAAUAUGUGGUUUCUGUCAUUUUUUUUAUUUUCGUGUCAUGAUCUGUCGUCCACUCUUGGUGUUACUGAGUAAUUUUUGGCCUAUACUUCACUUGAUGUAUUGCUUGUGGCUGGAAGGACAGAUUUAUUAGGCAAAGUCUGUUGCUUUGAUUGUAUUCAAUGGUUUUAGUCGGAUGAUGUUCGGCUCGUAGUUGUUAUUUGAUUGUGUUUGUCUGUUGUUAUUACUAGGUGGUGUCGCAAUUGUCGAGCUAGCGGCGUUGCUAGCAGAGCUACCUCUAAGAUUCCUUUGGCUCCUCAUGUACCAAAAGGACAAUGAAUAAGGUCCAAAACAUGCUAGAAAAUCCUAGUUUUCCUCGAAAACUAUUUUAUUUGAGUCUUUUAGAGUGAGGAGGACUAUUGAAACAAUCUGUCAUUUCGCUCGUUGUCACUGGUUGUCAUUAUCGUAACUGUUGAACCAGUAAUGUUCCAUCCUUUAGUUUCCAUCUUCCUUGUUCUUUCUUUUUGUUAUUUCAUAGUUGCAGUAAUUUUCAUGUAGCUCUAUUUGCUAGACUGUUUGUUGUAGAAGCCUUAGAAGACUAUAGGAUUUUCAAUCGAUUGUUUGAUUGAGAAGUCAUCCUUAUUGGUUGGUUUUUGUCUUGUCGAAGAAGAUUUGAUUUGCUGGUUGUUCUGUUAUAUUGAUUUUUUUUAACUACCUCAUCUGUAUAAAUUAGAAUUUCAUUUUGAAAUGCCUGUUUUUCCUGAGAUUAUAUGAUUACUUUGUUCAGCUUGAAUGUAAGUUGUUAAUUUCCUUUUGCGCAGCUUUUGUUCGAAUUCAAUAUAACUUUGUGUAAUCCUAUGCAUGUUUAUUAUAGCCUAUAGCUGUCUUUCUGAUUUUCAUGGCAUUACUCAAGAUGGCAUUUCUAUUUUGUGGGUGUUGGUUUUGCCGGGGCUGACUCGUAUUUAAAGUAUGAAAUACUGUCAUGUGAUCAAUGUUUUCUUUUCUCCCCGAUCAAUUACUUUCUUACAUAGUUCCUCCUUUCUUCUAGUCAAAUGUAUAUCAUCUCGACCUUUAUUAAAAUUGGUUAGCUUCUCUUUGUUUUGACGUUAUGCAUUAAUCUCUUUUUCUCCUAUAUCCAAAAUACUCUCUUAUGAAGUUUGAGGUGCUCACUGUUACGGUAUAGAAUUUAAAAAAAUGUUUUCUUUCAUGAAGAUUCAAAGGCUCCAUAUGCGGAUAAGCACGUUAAUAUAUACAUAUAUAUAUAUAUAUAUAUAUAUGUGUGUGUGUGUGUGUGUGUGUGUGUGUAUGUGUGUGUGUGUGAUGGCAUCGCAUUCCACAAUUUACGUUGUGUCUUGAAUUGUGUUAAUGAAGGAUGGUUACUGCCUCUAUUUCAGGCAUUUGUUUGUGCUGAUGAAUGUUUUUAAGAUCAUGCUUUAGGUGUUGAUUAAUUCUCCGUUGCGAUUGAGUGCCAUUAGAUGUAGAAUGGGUGAUUUCUCUGAGAAAAUAUUAUGUUAAAAUCUUAGUCUAAGUUUAAGUAUUUUCCAAGAAUGAGCCUUUGUUUGGACUAAGAGCUUUCACCAAACUGUUUAUUGUCUUUCAAUUGGUCUUCUCAAACGGGGGCUCUUCUUAUCUCUACGUACAUAAACAACUAUUCCAAAUUCAUCGUGAAGGUGUCAUAUGCUUUGCCUUUAUGUUUUUUGGAUCGAUUUUGCCAUUUUCGAAAACAAUGUCCUAACUGACUAGUUAAGGUCUGUGUCAUGCUGUUCUUUAGUUAGUUAUUUAGUUAAUCAUGUAUUAGUUGUCUUUAUAUUUUCUUCCUUCAUACCAACCUUUGUUAAUUUGCCUGCUUUGUUGAUUAUUUGAGAUCCGUACGUUGCCCUUCUUAGUUAAACCUGCAUUAGUUUCCUUUUAAUUUUUUCCUCUUUGGUUGAUCAUGUGUUAGUAGGCUUCCUUCACUUUAUUUACUUUCUUCCCCCCUUCUUCCUUUUCUUGAUUAUAUACUAAUGUGUUAGUAGGCUUCCUUCACUUUAUUUACUUUCUUCCCCCCUUCUUCCUUUGCUUGAUUUUAUACUAAUGUGUUUUAUUUUCCCUCCUUUGCAUGGAAAUCAUUUGAGUCCUACAUGAACUCUUUCCUUUGUGCAUAUUCAUCAUGGGCCACUGAGGCCUACUAUGUCUAUUGAGUCAAGCCCGAAAGAGAAUCCAUCGCAUGGAAUACGGACGCGAGGAGUCAAAGGAAGGAAAAUGGGUUAAAAUCCCAUUUUGGAAGCGGCAGAGGAGACUUGAAAGUCUCAUCUUUUUUAUUUACUUAUUAAUUAUUGCCUUCAUUUGUCUAUUUUUAUCCAUACAAUUUAUUUCUUUAUUCAUUCAUUCGGGCCACGAAGCAAAUAUUAUAUAUAAUACAGGUGGAGCAGGAUUCGAACCAAAUGCUCAAAAACUAGAUUAGGACAGGUGAAAUGGGUCGAAAACCCAACUAGACUAGGACAGGUCUCAUUGAUUUGGGCCCAAUGGCCUAAAUCCUUUACUUUCUCCUCCCUUUCCCUUUUAUGUGAUUGUUUGUUUAUUAGUUUUGUUUAGACUUAGUUAAAAUCCCUACUAAGUCACCUAAAUCUAUUUUACACAAGUCUUUUUUUAAAAAAAUCAAAUCAGUAUUUCAACAAAUUAAUCUUUUCAGAAGUUAAUCAAAAGAUGUUUUCAAACAGUCCGGAUAACCGCAAAUUAGUGGACGUUUUAGGUUCCUAACACCUUCCUGAAAUGUUAAUAAGAACCGCUUACUCAGAAUCUCUUAACUUAAACGAUUUUUCUAUUUUGAAUCGUGUAAGUACAUUUAAAAGUUUCUUAAUUCGUUUUUAAAAUUAAGUGGCGACUCUUCAAAAAGUCAAAAUUUCUCCGUAAAACAAGUGGUGGAACUUCAAAAUAUAAUCCUAAGAAGAAAAAGAUGAAAUUUAUAGAUCACCUAAAACAACAAAUCAAAAGAUCUUGCUGAAUAAGACAAAGAGAGAGUAAUGAAAAGAACUUGUUAAGGAGCAUAGUGACAUUGAGCUGAUAGAUGCAAAAAGUAAUAGGUUGACAGAAUAUACAACAAUGAUUCACAAUGAAGAUAAGGAACAAAUUGCUCCUAAGGAUGAUUUGCAAUAGCAACAACUCAUUAUUAAGGAAAGCGGGAAAAAUUAUAACUCAUCCAGCAAUAUCCCUGAAGCAGAAAUAGAGAUUAGUAAAGAAGCUAUUGUAGACUCUAGUAACCUAUAAAUGAUAUGGAGUAGCAACAACUAGACUCUAGUAGAAACAAAAUUAAAUAGGUUAACAUGAAUAGUCCAUCCAAGGAACAUGGAGAGAUUACUUCUUUUAAAAGUUCACUUCAACAACAGUAAGCUAAGCAACAACUUCUGCAGCAUAGCAGCCUGUAGUAGACAGCAACAAACAUCUAUGUACAAUAGAGAUGUAGUCUGUAGUCAAUAACAACAUUCUGAUGACAUCUAAGACCAUAAAUUCCGUUAGAUAGUAAACCUUUUUUUUGAUCAUUUUCAUUUGAACAUCACACCCCUUGCCGUGCUGCCCUUCCCUAGACCCUACUAGCGUGGGAUGAUUUGUGCACCGGGUUUUCCUUUUAUUUCCUCUUAGACCAUAAAUAUUGGCGUCAAACUAAUAUUAUCAAAAUUGGUUUGGAGUACAUUUUCUUUUAUGAUAAUCAAAGAACAUUGAGUAUGAAAAAAAGAACUAGUUCGUGUUUGCCAUAACCAUAUUAACAUGAAUUACUUAAAAACUAAUCUUUUACAAUGAAAUAUCAAAAAUUUCUAACGAAAUAUCAAUCAUUUCUUCAUACUUCUCCCAUUGCAUAAAUUUCACCCCAUCCAAACUUCUUUACCAUGUAACCAACCUUCUUUCCAGUUUCUUCUUCCUUUCAUUACCAAGAAUUCAAUUUUGACACUCAUGGACGCAUUAUUACUUCAGUAGCAGAAAGCCUGAAACUUUGUUACAUCAAUAGUCAAAAUUUCACUUAAUAUGAGUUGUCUUCGUUGAAACUAACUAAUGGUAACAUAAAACUCAUUAGCAAUCAAAAUUUACCAAGUCAUGGACGCAUUAUUACUACAGUUUUUACCAAUGUUCACGCAAUCAAAUGAACCCAGCAUUAAAAUAUUCUCAAAGGAGAAGAAAAACUCAAAAUUCCCAAAAAUUAGGUCAAAGACGUAGAAAAAUACGCUAACCUUUAAAUCUCCAAAUUGAAGCAAUUGAAGUGCAAAUUUGAGAGAAAUUGAAGUACAAAUUUGGUCUGAAUAUUUCUUGCCCCGGUAAAUCGAUUUUUGAAGUGGCACCAGUAAAUCCCACAAAGCUCACUACCAAAUAGUAGAAAUUGUAGCGAUUGCAGCGAAGAGAACCUGAAUUCCCAUAUCGAUUGAUUAUCGUUGUAAAGGUUGCAGUGAAGAGAAGUCAAUUCCCCUAAUCGAUUGAUUGUCGUUGUAGCGAUUGUAGCGAAGACAAGCCAAUUCCCUAAUCGAUUGAUUGUUGUUGUAGCGAUUGUAGCAAAGAGAAGCUGAUUCUCAAAUCUAUUGAUUGUCAUAGUAAUCGAUUGAUUCCCUAAUCGAUUAGUUCCCUAAUCGUAGUUAAAUAUUUUUUUAAAGGUUCAGUAAGCUGAGAGCUAAUAGAGAAACUAAGAGAGAACGGGAAGUAAAAUCUAAGAGGGAAGAGACAAAAGUUGUCUUAGGUUUUCUUUUUUGGCGGACUUAUCAAAUUUUUAGUGAAAAUAGAGGGAAAAAAAUAAGUGUUGCUAUAACUUAUUUUAUUUAUCUAUGGCAACGUUUAUUAUCAAAUGCAACGGUUAUAGUGCAAAAUUAUAGCUAAUAGAAUAAUUAUUUAUGGCAUACUUACAACUGUCGCAAUAGACCACCUAUUGUAACGCUUUGGUAACCGUCGCCAAAAAGUUCGUUGCUAUAGGGGUAAUUUUCAGUAGUGUAUAUUACUCGGACUCUUCAAAAAUAUCAAUGGAUUCAUGUUGGAUUCUCCAAAAGUAAUGUAUUUUUGGAGAAUUCGAUACUAGUGCGACAUCAAAAGUAAAGAAUUCACACAACUUAGGAUAAGAUAAGUUAAGAACAACAUUCAACUAUGAUUAUAUAACAAAGACAAUUAUCAACUGUUGAUUUUUUUUUUUUUUGGCCUGAAGAUCCAGUAAUAAAAUAAUAGUAAAUGUCUGGAGCUUUCUAGCAAAUAGUUUUUUAGCAUCAUUAAAAGGUUCUAUUUGUUUUUAUGAAGUAUUGGCUAUACAUGGAAAGAGCCGGCAUGUAUCGGAAACAACAUCUCCACUUCAUCUUUGAGGUAGUGAUAUAAACUGCAUACAUUUUAUUUUUUUCAGAUUUCACAGACCUGUAGAUUAAGUAUGUUGUUGUUGUUGAGAUACUAAGAGGUAGAGGAUAAUAAGCAAGUGAACUAGAUAGUCCAUUAUCCGGAAGAAGUUCGACUUCUAUAGAAACUAAACUUUUUGAGAAGACGCAAAUAGAUUUGGAUUAGAGUUAAAUUUGGUUGAUUUGUGAAUUAAGAUCAAUAUCACAUGACAACAUUGCAACGGAUCAAGUCAAAUUUCUUUUUGAGAUAGUGUUCAUUGGAAAAUGAGGUAAGCGAUUUGAUCACGCGUCAAAAGACUCUUGGAAAAGUGAUUUGAAUUUAUUGUCAUUCAUUAUAAAAGUUCAAAAUUGCCAUUUACUAUUUCCUCAACCAUGACUAAUUAUUUUUAUAAUAUUUCAAAGACUCCUACAAAGGUUUAUGUGAAUUAAAGACUCCUAAAAUGUAUGAAAAAAGGUUUAUGUGAAUUAAAGACUCCUAAAAUAUAUGAGUAAGGUAUCUUUAAAAUCUUUAUCUAUGGAAUGUGAAAUCUGAAAAUUUUAGAGGAGUCGUGCUCCUUUUAUUUCUUUCUAAAAAUAAAAAUAAAAAUUCAAGUAAAGUCAAUUUUAAAAGUUAUUUUCUCAAAGGCAUGAGACGGCAAAGUCAAUUUAAAAAGUUUUAUUUGCAUAAAACACAAGAGACGUACAAAUCUUUCAAAUUUUUUUGAUGGAUGUCUUUUUUAUUUCUUGGUCUAACAUAAUUUACUUUGGUAGAAGAAAUAAAAAUAAAGUUCUGAUUUUUUGUGCUCAAAAUUGUUGUUUGAUGUUCUUUUCUCUCUCUCUAAAUAUAUAUAUAUAUAUAUAUAUAUAUAUAUAUAUAUGUAUACAUUGUAUACAUAUAUAUAUGUAUACAUAUAUAUAUGUAUACAUAUUGUAUGUAUGUAGUUGUAAUGUCUCGAGAGAAGAUUAAGAUGAAAAAUCUGAUGUUACAUAUGUUAUUAAAAAUUUAUUCUAAUUACUUUUUUGUGCAGUUUUUCAUUCUCACAAAACAUCAAUGGAAUCUAUAAUUUAAAUUCGAUAGUUGAAUAACUUUAUGAUGCAUAUCGGAGAUGAUAUUAUUUGUUGGACAUUAGGUCGACGAAUGACGAGUAAUAUAGUGAGAGAAUUUUUUUGUUGUCACUAAAAACAUUAAACUCAAAUAUUUGAUAAAUUCUUUGUUUAUUUGAACUAUUUAACAUCUACUUUAUGUAAAUUAAAAUACAAUUAACUCAGUGCACGUUAGUGCGAUAACCUACGCACAGUCGGAGAUGGGGAGAGGACGACCUCAGAAGGCUGCUAAGAAACAACAAGAGGAUGAUAUCCGCCGUGAAAUUCUUGCGAGUUCUGAACGAGCUGGGACAGGUUCUAGAGUAGCGAUUAGAGAAAAAUGCAAAACCCCGAUGGGAACCCUCAGAUAACACCGAAAAUGAUUCCCAGUGAGAAAGUGAAGGCAAAAAGUAUUGAAACUUGGCCUAAAUUAGCUACCAAGCAAGCAACUGGUGAAAAUCCAGCUCAAUUGAGCCUAGAUUUGCAGAAACUGAAAGGAACAAAUACUCUGAAUGAGACAGGUACUUCUUCGAAGGAGCAUAAACAAUUGGAGAAGCUGCUUGAGAAACCAUGGAAGAAUCUAUUCUCUACAAAUAGGUUGGCUACUAAAGAUAUGAAUCUAUCAUUCAUUCCACCUACUGUUAUUGAUGGGGAGAAAGUGGUAGAAGUAACCACAGAUGAUGUAGCGUAUGAGAAUGAAAAAUGGAAGUCUGUUAUUGUGGUAUAUGUAGUGGGAAUCAGCCCCUCUAUAGGUGCUAUGGAGAGAUUCAUACUUGUGCAGGGGAGCUUCACUACAAAUCCAACUGUGUUGUAUCAUUCAGAUGGGUACUUUGUGGUUAGAUUUGUGAAUGAAGAAGAAAGAGAUGUAGUGCUAUGCUCUGGACCACAAUACCUACUCAAAAGACCAGUCAUUAUUAAACCUUGGACAACAUAUUUCAAUUUUAGCAAGAAAAUCCUAACUACAAUUCCGCUAUGGAAUAAGCUACCUAGCUUGCCUCUAAACUGCUGGAAUGUUGUAGUGUUAAGUAAAAUAGGGAGUAGCUUGGGUAAAACCCUGUAUGUAGAUGAAUGUACAACUCAGCCUAGCAGAAUAUCAUUUGCUCAGAUAUUGGUAGAAGUAGACAUUACCAGACCACUCCUUAAAAAAAUUAAAAUCCAGGAUUCGAAGGGUAGACUAAUGGAGCAGGAAGUCUGGUAUGAUUGGAAGCCACAAUAUCGUGAAAAAUGCUUACAAUCGGGCAUAGUUGUAAAACCAACCCACCACAUGUAAAGAAACAAGAAGCCACAAAGGGACAGGGGAAACAGACGCAGAAAAUAGAAUGAAAAUCCACAGAGGAACCUGAGAAAGAAAGUAUGAAACCACAAGUCCAAGACAUGGAUAGUGAAGACACAGGAAUAGCUGCAACAAAUAAAACAGAGCAAUGACAAACUGUUAAGAAAAAUUCAGCUGGGAAAAGGCCUUAUCUCCCAAACAACACACCAGGUGACCUUGGUAUACCAAGUUGCAGCAAUCCUUUUGAUGUUGGACAAGGAAGUGGAGGUACUAAUAUGGAUAUGGCAGAGUUCUUCCCACCAACACUCCCUCUUCAAGUAUGGUAGUGACAUGGAAUGUAAGAGGCUUCAACCAAGUGGUGAAGCAGAAGGAAUUAAAGUUAUUUUUGAGAAAAAAUAAAGUUACUUGAUAGAAUAUUGCUUGGCUGAAAGUGGUACACAAAUGCUUCAUCAACUAUGAGAGAAAGAUUAUGGGUUAUUUGGGAUCCUAAUGAAUUAUAUUUUCAAUAUAUUGAGAAUUCAGCCCAAUAUAUUCAUGAUGAGGUAUACUACCUGGAAAAUGGAAAGAAAUUCGAAUUUACUGUAGUGUAUGGGUUGCAUUCGAUCGAAGCACGAGUACCAACGUAGACUGACUUACAAAACCUAAAUACAUCAAUUAAUGAGAUGUGGCUUGUCAUGGGGGAUUUUAACUCUAUUUUGUCUAUGGAAGAUAGACAAGCAGGAAGACAAGUGCAAGAUCACGAGAUAAGAGACUCCAAGAGCUUUAUGGAAGAUUGUCACCUUUCAGAGCUAAUAGCAGUAGGGAGAACAUAUAUAUGGACUAACGGACAUGUGUAUAGUAGGAUUGACAAAGCCAUAGUAAAUGCUCCAUGGAUGGUAACAAUGCCUACGCUGCAAGUGCAAAUUAUGGACCCUUUGUUCUCAGAUCACUCACCUCUAAGCAUCAAUUUAGAGUAUAAUGAUAGAUAUAAGGAGAAGACAUUUCAAGUUUUACAACUACUUAGCACAACAUUCUGAAUUUUAGGCUAGAGUUAGAGUAAGUUGGAUGAUAAAAGGAGAAGGAAUGAGGGGCAUUUGGAAAAACCUGAAAAAUGUGAGGAAUGAAAUGCAGUUGUUGACCAAGUCAGAAUAUAUGAAUGUAACAAAAAGGGUCAAAAACCUUAGAUUAAAGCUCUUGAAUAAACUGAACUUGAUGAGACAUGCCCCUGUAACACAAGAGCUGAUAACUGAAGAAAAGAAGCUUAAGCUUAAACUAAGCAAAUGGAGCAUGGUUGAAGAAAGCAUAUAUAGGAAAAAGUCUAGAGUUUAAUGGCUCAAGCUGGGAGAUUCUAAUACAAUAUACUUCUUUGCUAGUAUGAAAGGAAGAAGGCACCAAAACCAAAUCAAAGUACUACAGGCAGGAAAUGGCUCUAUCAAUAGAGAAACAGAGGAGGUUACAACUGAAGCAGUAGGUUUUUACAGGAAGUUACUAGGUACAUCCACUACUCAGUUAGCAGCGAUAUAUCCUGAUGUAAUCAAGGAUGGAACGGUUUUGAACAGACUUCAAUAACUAUAACUUAUACAAUCUUUUAUUGCAACGGAUGUCCACAAUGCAUUAAUAGAGAUUGAUGAUAAUAAAGCACCAGGGGGAGAUGGUUUCAAUUCAUAUUUUUUCAAGAAAGCUUGGUCGAUCAUUGGUGGGGACAUAACAACUGCUGUGUUGGAAUUUUUUGAAACAGGUGAAUUAUACAAACCUAUAAAUAGUACAUCUGUCACCCUGAUCCUAAAGGUUCAACAUCCUAGCUAUAUCACACAAUAUAGGUCUAUAUCUUGCUGCUCUACUCUGUACAAAAUAAUUUCUAAGAUACUUACCCACAUAUUGAAACCUGUCAUGGUUUAUUUGGUGGAUGCUAGUCAAGAUGCAUUUAUACCUGGUACAAUAUUGACUGAUAAUGUAUUGUUGAGUCAUGAGCUUGUAAAGGGAUAUGGAAUAAAAGGCAUCUCGCCUCGAUGCAUGGUUAAGAUAGACAUGCAAAAAGCAUAGGAUUCUUUGGAAUGACCUUUCUUAGAGGAGAUUUUGCUUGUUCUUAACUUUCCUAGGAGGUUUGUGCAAUGGAUAAUAAGCUGUGUGAAGACUGUCUCCUACUCAAUUGUUGUAAAUGGCAUACCAUCAAUCCCCUUUGGGCCAAAAGAUGAGUACGACAAGGAGAUCCUUUAUCACCUUACUUAUUUGUAUUAAGUAUGGAUUAUCUGACCAGACUGCUGAAAACACUACGAAGAAAGCCUGACUUUAACUUCCACCCAAGGUGUCAAAAGCUGAGUAUUAUUUAGAUGAGUUUUGCGGAUGACUUACUACUACUUUGUAGAGGAGAUAUAAUUUAUGCUUGUUUGCUAUAUGAGUGUUUCAAGGAAUUUUUUGCAGCUUCAGGUUUAAUAGUAAAUCAAGUAAAGAGCAAAAACUACUUUGAUGAGGUGGCUGACAAUAUUCAACAAGAAAUACUUCAUAAACUAGGUGUCUCUCUUGGCCAUCUUCCAUUUAGGUACCUGGGAGUACCUCUGAGCACAAAGAAACUAUCUAUAGACCAAUGUCAGCCUCUAAUAGACAAAAUGAUUAGGAAAUAACUAGCUGGACAAUCAAGUUCCUAUCUUACCCCCGAAGGCUACAAUUGAUAAUCAAUGUACUAGCUAGCAUAUAAUCAUUUUGGUCCUAAAUAUUCCCUAUUCCUAAGAAGGUUAUCAAGUAGGUGGAAGCAUUAUGUCAAAAGUUUCUAUGGAAUAGAGACGUCCAAGUAAAAAAGAAAGCACUCAUUGCUUGGGAUAUGCUAUGUCGACCUAAAUCAACAGAAACUCAUUGCUUGGGAUAUGCUAUGUCGACCUAAAUCAACAGAAGGCCUUAACAUAACUGAUAUUAACCUAUAGAAUAAAGCAGUAAUUCUAAAACAUUUAUGGAAUCUAAGCUUAAAGAAAGACAGAUUAUGGAUAUGAUAGGUGGAUGUAUAGUUCUUAAAGGGCAAGAAACCAUGGGAGGUAGAAACUAAGAAGAUGUCCUGGAUAGUCCAAAAAAUAAUGACAGUAGGUAGGUGGCUUGAAGGAACUGGAAUAGAUAUUGAAGACAUCAUGACAGCUGAGUCUUUCUCAAUCAAAAGCAUAUAUACCAAACUAAGGGGUCAAUACCCCAAAGUCGAAUGGAGGAAGCUUAUCUACAACAACAGAGAGAGAAACAAAUGGAAUUUUAUAUGCUAUCUUGCAAUCAAUGAGAGACUCUAUACAAAAGAUAGAUUGGAUAAGUGGGGCAUUCAUACGAAUCGGGUGUGUGGCCUGUGUGAAGAGGAACCUAAGGACCAUAAUCACCUUUUCUUUAUCUGUCGUGUAUCUGCAGGUAUAUGGCAGAAGUUGCUACAAUGAUAAGAAAUCCUCAUAGGCAACAUGGGAUGAAAGGAGGAGCUAAGAUGGGAUACAAUUUAUGCAAAAUUCAAGAGUGCAACAAGUGAGAUUUUUUGAAUGAGUUUGGCAGCCACUGUGUAUCAUAUAUGGUUGGAGAAAAAUCAAAGAAACUUUUAACAAAAGAAGAAGGAACCUGAGGUACUAGUGAGGAUGAUCAUCCAGGAAAUACACUAUAGACCAAGUUUGAAUCUAAAACUAGCAGGCAAGAUGAUUAAGUAUAACAUUUAUCCUUGAAUGUGUGAAGUUGCUAAAGUAAUUGUGUGAGUUGUACAGAUCAUUGAAUUAACAUUACUCUACCAUACUUACAAUGAUUACAAAAAUUAUUACAAAAUAAUUAAUCAAUUCUAAUUCAAGUAUCCUAGGGUGUCUGUGAAGCCAUGUCUAGUAGAGUCUUGCAGAACGGUACGGAGACGUCUGUACUUUUCUUCUAUAGGCUACGAGGCAUUUAAGAAAAGUUUCUCUUCUUUCAUAUUCUAGAUCAUGAAGUAAAGUUGUUCCUUCAGAAACUCCUAUCUACCUGUGUGUUACCCCUAAAAUUCUUCACCUAUGACUUAUUCUCAAGAUAACAUAAUCAGCAAGUUCCAAUUCCUCCCCAGAUGAUGCUCUCAGAUUUUCUAGCAGAAGUUUCAGAAGUCACACAAAGGGCUUGAGAGGACCUCCCUAGUGUGUUAAGUUCCUUGAGCUGAAAGUCUAUGUUCUCAUCCUUAUGAGUUGUUCAGUUGAGACAGAAUUAGAUAUCCAUUCAGAUCCCUCAUUAUUCCUUCAAUACAGAUAGUGCUCAUGAGUGGAGAUAGUAUGAAAAUAGAUUGUUAAAUUUAGUGUGCAUUCGAGGGAUACUAUGAACCUCAAAUUUAUGAUUUAUGAAUAGUAUAACCCUAUUAUAGUUGGAAGUAUGGGUAUAGAAGAGUAGUGACAAGAAAAGUGGGAAUGACGAUUGGUAGAAAGUAUAGAGAUAAAGUUAUGCAUGUUAGCGAGUUGGGUUAAGGUGAUAUAUUUUGUGUGGUUGUUAGUACCAUUGAGUUUCCAAGUGGAAGAAAACUAGUUACAUGGUAUAUGGUGUUCUAAAUAGCUAGAUUAAGGAGCUAAGUUAUGGAUAGAUAAUGUUGAGCCUUUUUGGUAUGAUCUUGAUUCUCAUGGUUUAGAAAUACAAGUUUAGGGAUGUGAUAUUAGUAAGCUAUGGCAAGAGUAGUUUGGUUUGUUAAAGGUUGAUGAUAUCCGUGUUAAGUGUUUGACUCCUUGAAGAUUGAGCAAAUAACAAUGAGAGUUAAAGCUCUAGAUGGUGUGAACUCAGGAUAUGGUAAUACUUAUGAAGAUUCCAAGUUAGUAAGAGUUCAAGAUAUUAUGUGAUGACAAGUAGGGAUAUAGAAAGAAAGAGUUGUAUCUAGAAAGGAAGUAUUAGAAAUGGGGUUUACACUUUUAGGUGUAGUCUUCUAGAGUAAGUUUAUUACUUGUGUGUAUUGUUGUGUUCCAGACUCUAGAGUGCAGUGAUUGUAGUUCAGUUUAGAGUUUAGUAAGAGUUCCACCAACUUAGAGUGACGACUUAAAGCUAAGGGGGAGACGAUGCCAAAGUCAGACUUCCAGAUGCUAGUAGUGAUGCUAGUAUAAUGUAGAACAUUAGAAAGUGAGGAUGUGGAUCAACCCAUUCUUAUUUUAGUAUUUGUUUUUUCAGUCAUCCCAAUAUCUACUCAUGCCUUACGUAUCAUUUCCAUGAUCAUAGUUCAUGUUCAUGCACAUAAUAGAGAGUCAUGUACUCUCCAAUUCCUAGUAUGAGGAGUUCCAGUUCAUCCAGCAGUCGAAAUCACAUUCCAUAAGUUAUGAACUCCAAAUUCAGGUCAUGCAGCUCAUGACUCAUGUACUCUUGAUUUACAACAUGUUCAGUUCCAGUACUCAUGCAAUACUCUUAACGAUCAGAGAAAUUCAGAUUUAUAUCAUGUAGAUCCUCAUAUUAGAUCUUCUUAAUAAAUCCAUGUCGGGAAUGCUUUAUUUCCUCAGACCUCAGUAAGGUGUCCAAUUAUGCUGAGUAUCCCUUCAUGUUUCAGACCCUAUAUUCCACCAACUUUUCAAUGACCUCCCAGGUCAAGAUAGUGUUGAUGAGCGAUUGUGCGGAUGUGAGAUAGUAAAUGUGUUAUGUUUGGGAAGAUUGUUGUAAGCUGGUUUUAUGUAAGUCUAUAAGUUUGAAAGAAUUUUAAGGUGAAUUUUAUUUUCUUGCGUAUGAGAAUAUUUUAUGCGUGCUUUAUUAAGGUCAGUAUAUGAAAGUUACUAUUGAUAGAAGUGUUAGAGAAUAUGAGAAAGAUGCUCUUAUGGGUAUUUAUUUGUAAGUGCAUAUAUGGUUAUGGAGAUAGGCUUGAAUGUAAUGUUGGUGUAUGAGAGUAUAGGUGAGUAGUGCAUUAAUGAAUUUCCUAGUAAGAGGUUGAAUUUGUUAUAGAAAGUGAUAAGAAGAAUUAUCUUAGAGCGGAGUAGUUACGACAUUGCCUGGGGCAUUAAAUCCAUGGUUCAGACUAGUAUUAUGAUAAUGUAUGCAAUACUUUGUGAUUUCAAGUUAGGCCUGGCUGUGAUGAGAGGAUUUAGCUCAGUUUAGACUUUAGUAGACGGAUUUAUCAAUGCCAUGUGAGAAUUAUAAGUUGAAUCAAGCGAGUAUGGAUUUUAAGGGAAUAGUAUAGUUGAAAGAGUGGUUAACAAGUUUUGCAAAGCUUGAAAGUAUAAAGUUGCAUUGCUUAAGGCCUAGCAAUUCAAUUCUAUCCCAGUGUAUGGUUUAUGGGUCUAUAUUCCAUGCUAUAGAGUGGUAGCGAUGUUGUAAUCUCUUAUUUAGAGGUCUUUUUCAGAUCAUGCCCAAAGUCCUUUACUCCCUAAUAGAGUUAAAGUUUCUUAGAAAAGCAUUGAAGAAACCAUCGAGGUAUGAGCGUUCAGUAUGAUUCAGUACGUAUAGCCAGAAAUUCAGUUUAUCAGCCAGACAGAGAAAGCUUUAUAGUUUUUCCAUCUUCUAAUUUAGACUAGUCUUACUACCAGAAAUUUUGUGAGUAGGGCCAUUUUAGUAUAUGCAUCAAUUUUAGAUUCAGAUAUUAAGUCAUGAUUUAGUUCAUAAGUAUCCCGUGUAUCAUCUCAUCCUUUUUCCUAGUAUUGCAACCAAAUCAGUAUCAUUCAAGGACGAGAGAUCUCAAGGGGGAGAUGCUGUAAUACCCAGAGUUUUUAAGGAGUAAAUCUCUCAUUCUUUUCUCAUGAAAUCAAAUCCAGCCCAAAGUAAUGGUUAGUCAUAAGUUGACACUCUCGUUUUGAUCUCAGCCAUAUAGUUAUUUUCGUGAAAGCUCAUGCACUUACAGAUCAGUUCGAUAGCCCAUUACAUUGGGAUUUAGUCAUACAGUUUAUUUCAGUUGUGCAUGAUAUCUUAUAGCCUCAGAUUCCUCAGAAAUUUCAGCCUAAUUAACCACAUUCGAGGAUGAAUGUUCCCAAGGGGGAGAUGUUGUAAUACCCCAUAUUUUUUCUAGCUUAAAUUCGUUUCUAGAAUGUUAAGGGAUAGUUUCCAAAAUAAAAUAAUAUUUAUUCUGUAGACACGUAAUUUUGUCCUUUCCCGAAAAUAUUUUAAUUAUUUUUAUUUUAUUUUAUUUUAUUUUAAUUUUUAUUUUUAUUGUUAUUUUUAUUUUUUUCACCUUACCAUACUUUUGUUUAAUUGAUAAUUUCUCCCCCAAAAAAGAAUUAAAAAUAAUUAAAUACAUAGCAUCUUUGUCACCUCACUAUGCCACCACAUAUUUAUUCCCACAAGCCACCAAUUAUAUGCUUCCACAUAGGAUAAUAAAUAAAGAAAAAAAAAACAAAUAAAAAUAUAAAAGGAAAAUUCUAAAACGGGAAAAGGGAGGCUCAUUAUUUCAUCAUCAUCUUCUCCACAAUAACAACAAUCACCAAAUCAUCUUCCUCACAAGAACAAAAAAAACGAGGGAGAGAAAGAGAGAAUCACGCAAGAGAAAAAAAUCGAGAGAGAAAAAGGGUCUGGAUAAUGGAAAUCCAGCGUAAACAGUGUCGGUGAACAGUAAUAACAUGAAUAGUAAUAGAGUGAAUAGUAAUGAUAUGAACAGUAACGGAGUGAACAGUAACAACGUGAACAGUAAUGGCGUGAACAGUAACGAAGUGGACAAUAACGGCAUGAACAGUGUCGGUGAACAGUGCUGGUGAAAAGUGCUGGUGAACGAGUCAUUAUUUUACAUUGUUGAGUUGGAUUGUUGGUGUUAAGUUUUGGGUCGAGGUUUUCGGGUGCUGACUCUCUUUAUUCGAAUAACAUUGAGUUUGAAAGCUUCAGAUUGAGGUUCAAUUCUACUCUCUUUCUCUUUUU
rnacentral:lncRNA from 1 species